rnacentral:lncRNA from 1 species
AAAAAAGAAAAAGGCGAGUCAUGAUUCUAUAACCAUGUCAUUUUGUAUGCACUUGCCUCUAAAUUCAGAACCACCCCCAUUGCUUCAUUAUAUGUAUUACAAUUUUACACUCUCUUCGUUCCUUAUUUAUUUCCUUUCCCUUCAAAGAUACGGUAUUAUAUCUUCAAUAUUUUCUAAACCUUUGAGGUUACAAUUCUUUAAGUAUAUUAUACAAUUUACAAAAAGAAAUUGAUUAGGGAAAAUAAAAAAUAAAAAAUAAAAAGUAAAGAAGGGUUGGUAUGAUUGAUGCAGGCGUUGGACAAUGAAGGGCUCCCACUAUUUCAAAGAUCCAAUUUAUGAAGGUCAUUGAUUGUAUAGUGCCAUCAUUACUUCAUUUCCUUUUCUUUUCUUUUCUUUUUUUUUUUAAUUAUGGGAUUACCAAAGGAAAUCAUCACAGUAUAUAGUGGUUGUCAGAUAAGCAAAAUAAUUUCCUUUUUUUAAGCUUCAGAGGCAUAACUACUUGAAGAAGACAGUGUCUCCAUCUUCUAAUUUUGGCCCCUCUUAUUAUUAUUAUUAAACUAUUCCCACAUAAAAUAAAAUUAGAGUUGAUUUAGAUUGGGAGAGUGUGAUGUGUUGCUCUUGAUUGUAUGCUCAAUUUUCUUUCAUUUGUUUGCAUGUUUUGAUGCAUAGAAACUCGUCUAAAUUUGCCAAUUUCCGAUGCUUUUGUCCCAACUUGGACGGCAAUAGAAAAUUUAUUACUGCACCUUCCAGUUUAUAUUACUUUGGUAAUUUGUAAUCUACUGCCGAAAGCGGUUGGAUGUACAAGUUUUUGUGAAUUUUUUAAUUAAGAUAUACCACAAUUUUAUUGUUAAAAUAAAUAAUAAUAAACAUAAAAUAAAGAAUGGUGCCUGAACCAUCAUCAUCACCACCAAGGAGGAAUCAUAUUCUUGAGUUUGAUUGUGAAUUGGAACAUAAACAUAAAGUUUAAGCGAGAAAAGAAAUUUUAAUCAAUGAAUAUGAUUUAAUUUUAUUAAGAAUCUCAAUUUGUCAUGUAGUAAACCAACCAUUACCUGAGAGGUUGUGCUCAAUAAUAAUGGUUUCAUUCUUUUCUGCCUAUUACUUUACAUAUUUUGAACAAUGGCAGUGAGGCUAAGAAAUCUUUUUAAAAGCAGGAAUUUUUCCCAUCAUACCAAAUAAUUAUGGAUUUGUAAGUUGUAAGUGGGAAAUAAUUUUUUUUUUUUGUCAACCAUCACAAUUCCUAUUGUAUCUUCAAAUCUCAAUUAUCAUAUCCAACUCUAUUUUGUCCAUUGCUAACCUGUCUCUUCCAUUUAUUUCCUUCAUCUCCACGGAUCCUUUUAUUUCACCUAAAGUGGAAAAACAAUCAAAAAAAAAAAUUGUGACCCCGAUCGAUUUUUUUGGAAAAAUUUUUGAAGUGUCAUCUUUUAGACAAAUAAUUCGGACUGUCAAUAGCAGAAGGUAUUGUAGUUUUGUUCCCACCCUCCGUAAAGAGUCGUAUAUAGUUCACAGAUGAUAGUGAGCGAUACCUGAAAGAUCUGGGAUAUGUGUUAGUAUUAGUCAUGAGAAUAAUUAUAGAUAUACUUAGACGUGUCAUAGCUCAAACCACCAACCUUAGUUUUAUAUGAGCCUUAUAAAUAAAUUUGAUAUCGCUUGAAUUACAAGAUUAAAAGUUCAAAUUUAUUAAGUAUUUUUUUCAUUGUGAUUAUAUAAAUUGAAUUAAACUUCAAGUUUUAAUUAUAUAUAUAUGAUUUAUUUGUUUAUUGAAUCGUGUAGUUUUAGAAGGAAAAAUAAUGAUAAUUAUGGGAAAAGGAUUGGUGUUAUCCAUUUAACCAAUCCCAUUCCCUACCACCCAUCAUGUCUAACAAUGAAUUAAUUAAAACCCUUGGCUUAAUUCAUGCCAAAAACGAUGAUUUGGACCAUACCCAGAAUUCAUAUGAUGUACAACUCUCAAAUCUCAAUACAAAUAAGAAUACCCAUCAAUCUAAUUUUGAGAUAUAAGGGUAUUUAAAUGCAGGUUUGUCCCACAUUAGACGUGCCCCUUUGCAUUGAUUUUUGGUGCCUGUUACAUGAGCUUGUAAUUGAACAAUUAGAUGUAUGGUAAAAGAAUAAUAACCCUUUCACCUAUAUGUAUACAAACAUGAGCUUGUGAUUUUCUUUCUCUUUGAAACAUGUAUGGUAAAAGUUGAGAUGAUGACAAAAUUUAUGACUAUCUGGGUUUGAUAUCUACAGUUGUACAAUGGGGAUGCCUCCCAAAAUGGAUAAAAAAAAUGGUUACAGUUGUACAAGAAAAAGACUUGUAAUGGUAAGAGCAUGGUAAAGAUUGACCUUCAAAAAAUGAAAACAUGUGAAUAACUUCUAUUUCAAGUCUUUACCAAAUCAAGUCAAUAGAAUGUUAGAGGAAAAUAAAGUGAAAAUUGCAAACACUCUCUGUAGAUUUCAAGAAAACAAGUUAGAAGGGACAAAUUUAGCAUACCCAUAGUCACAAGGUCACAAGGAUUCAUUAACUUACACCUUUCUCUUAACUGUUACGACUGCGACUUUGUACCCAAUAUUUAGGUUCCACUUUUUUUGUAACCUAUCAAUGCCAUUCAAUUUCAUAUUCAUUGCAUAUACAUACAAAUAUUAAAUAAAACAAAAAAAAAGUUUAAUUUUAUCAUUCAACUUUAAUAUUUGAAUCCCAAAACUUAGAUUUUGUAUGUAAAUUUAGGACUAUUAGAUUACGGCAUAUUCACUGUAUGAGUAGAAAAAAAUUAGAUAAUAAAUCUAUAAAAAUCAAAUUUGAUUUAAGUUGAAAUGAUAAAAUAGCGAAUGAAGCUUUUAAAGUCUUGGGUUCAAAUAUCAUUAUAUAUAUAUAUAUGUAUUUUUUAAAAAUUGUAUGUAAAAAGAUAAAAAUACCCUUAAAUUUAUAUUUGUUAUUUUAUAAAAUAUUGAUCUUUUGGCAAUUUCACAUUUGAAUUGAGGCCCAAAUAAGGGUGUAUCAAUUGAGUACAAACUUCAAAUUUUCUCAAGUAAUAGUAUAGAUGACAUAAAUAAUUUAUGUUUAGAUCAAUUACAAUCUCUUAUAUCGAAUUAAAUUCAAUGAUGUAAUCAAUAUAAAGGUAAAGCUAGGGGGCAAGCAGCGGAGUUGCUCCCUAAAAAUAAUAUAAUUGUACUUUGACCUUCCUAAAUAUGAAAAAUUAUAUUUAUUCCCUUCAAAAAUAAUGAAAUUAUAAAUUAAUAAUAUAUAAUAAAAUUACAAUUUGGUCUUUUAAAAAUUUUAUAAUUUAGUUGUAGCACUUACUCUGAAUAAAUAUAUUGAAAUUGAUAAUUCCCUUUUCAAACAUAUUGUUUAGAAAAAUGUGUAGAAAAGGUAAAUUGUUUGAAUUCAACUUUAAUUUUUACUGAUAGUGUUAAUUUUCUAAGAAACUUUCAUGUUCGGAUGUCCAAAUUUCUCUUCUUCUUUUUUAAUUUUUAUGAAAGAAUGCGGAUGUAGAUAUAUGGAUAUAGUUUACAUGGUUGAAGCAACAUGUGAAAAAGCAAAUGAUAGCCUAGUUUUCGGUGGUGGCAAUGUGUCAAAUGCCCGAUUCAGCUGUCAAUAUAUAAUCAUAUGCUUUGGAAUUUGGAUAUACUUAAAUCACAAUAAUUUCUUUUCUUUUCUUUUGUAAAUUAUUUUUUAAUGAUAUUUUUUAUAUCGUUUGGUUAAGUUUGUAUUAUAAGAUAAUCAAACAUCAAUUUAGAGUGAGUUUAGAUGAAUGGUGUGUUUAACUGCGGUUAAUAUAAAAAUAAUAAUAGUGAUGAAAUUAGAUACUAUAACAUAAGACAAAAAGUAAAUUAAACAUAUCGCACCGCACCCAAUCAUCUACACUCUUAAUUAAGAAAAAAUAAAUUUUAAAAAAUAUAUAUUUGAUACACUAUUCGUAAAAUUUUAAAAUUUUACAAAAAUAACAAUUUUUUAACUCUACUUAUGGAAUUAAAAUAAUAUAUUGUCAAUAUAUUAAAUAUUAAUAGUAAAUUUCAUUAUAAAAAUAUCUAUGUUUUUAAAUAUUUUUAAAUAUAAAACUGUAACAAAAAUCAAAAUUAUUUUGAUUUAAUUUUUUUUUAAAAUAUGAUAUAAUCUAAGUUUAUGAAAUGGUGUGGGGCAUGGGAAAUGGUGAGGGGUUGAUUAAAUUGGGGCUUUUUGGAUGGCCACAAGCAUUAGCUGAGUCAGCAACAUAAUAAUGAGGUGGACAUAUAUAAAUAAAAAAUAAAAUUGUCAAAGGAACCUUCUCUGUUUGAAAUGCUCCGGAACCCCUUCAUUUGUCAAUUCCUGCCCCAGUAUUAAAUGCCCUCUUUUUUCUUUUUAUGAAUAGAUUUCACCCUUAGGUAAAUUUUUCCAUGUUUUUUUUUCCUUUAAUAUUCUAACUCCACUUUAAACCUUUUAUCAUUCAUUCAAAUGAUAUCCUGUAAUAAAAAUAUUUUUUAUACCUUUUCUAAAUUAUUUUAAAUUUUUUUAUAAUUCAUACACUAUCAUCAAGAACAAAUUAUUAUCUUCAUACACAUCAUUAAUAGGUAAUUUUUAUGAUUUAUCUCACUAUGUGAGUAUAAGGUAAACAUCCUUUACCAAUAAACUAAACAUUAGAUUCCACAAAUCCUAUUGAAGAAAAAACAAGAGUACUAAAGAAGCAAAAUAGCAUAUAAAAUUAUCUACAUAUAACUUAUGAACAAAGUAAUUUAGGUGUAUGAACGUAAAUUAAUGAGAUAUGUAUAAAGAAACUUUGCGUAAUUGUUAAGUUUGUUUUGUCUUAAAUCCUUAACCACAACUUUAUUUAUUUGAGCAGAAAAAGGCAAAAUACAACAAAUAUCUCAAUUAUUUGUUAUCACCAUUUGAAAAACACAAGGCGAAGGAAGAUGCUUAUAAUUUCUUUUGGUAUUAAUAUAUUAAGAGGAGAAUCAAUUUAAACCCACAUUAGUGUCCAGUGAAAAAGAUCAUAUGUACCUUGAUAUAUAUAUAUAUAUAUAUAAGCAAUGGAGAUUAAAUGAAUCAUCCAUGCAUGUGUGUUAUGGGUGUGAGAGGGAGAAGGGGAGAUCAUAUGACUUACCAUUGUCUUAUGCGGUUUGACAUGUCGGGAAUAAAAAAGAUGUGAAGGGCCUACCUUCAAAUUUUUAAAAUAUUUAGAGCCUAAAAUACUUGUUAUUAGAAAGACAUGUGGAACCUACAACUUUGCGAUGUUCUUCUCCUGCCCUCUUUCUUCUUUUAUUUCUAUUCUAUUUUUUUUUAUUGUUAUCUUUGAUACGUAAUUAACCAUAGCUGUAUAAGUUAAAAGAGCAAAGACCCGGACCCUAAAUUGAAAAACUUUUUAUUAAAUCUUUUAUAAUUUUAUAAAAAUUUAAAUUUAUUAUUAUAUUGAAAUUAUAUAUGUAACAAGUUUUCCCAUGGUUGCAACUUGCAAUAAAUAAAGGAGUUAAUUAAGAAGACAUUGACAGUCCAAGCAUCAUAUUUUACCUGUUUUUAUUUUAAUAUUAACCUUUUGACUGCUGUUUUAUCUUUUAGGUAACAUUCAAAAAUCCAUUUGCUUAUGCAAUCCCUGAACUUUGGUUGUUAUAUCGAUGAUGCAUGCUCUUAACUCACGGGUCAAUUAGCCAACUAAAUUUUUUAUAUCUGCAUCACAUAACUUAUUCCUAAAAUUUGUAUUAAUUCUGUUUUUGAGAAUACAUAUCACUAAAUCUAGUGAUACAUGGAUUCCUGUCCAGUUGAUUCACUUGGUGGUUUAGUUUGGAUUAUAGUCACUGUAGUUGGUAUCAUUUCGGUUGGUACAUAUCAAAUUAAUAUUAAGUAGUCUAUGCUUUGUUCUGGUCAAUACCGACUUAUAUCAGUGUAUAUCUUUCCAUAUAGAUUGGUACAAAGUUUUAACAUUUUAAACUAAUUUUUUAAUUUUUUUAUCUUAACUAUUUUAAUUUUCCAAAAUUACAUUUAAAGUGAAAGUUAUCAAAUUCAAUUAUUCCACCUAAUUAAUAAUUUUAAAACUUAUAUUUAGAUUUAAAUGUAUUUGUAUAGAUAUAUUUGCAUGUACAUAUGAUACACAAAUUACUUUUUAACCAAAAUAGCAUACAAUUUAUGAAUAAAUUAAAAACUAGACUAUAAAUAUAUAUAUAUAUAUGUGAAAAAUAUUUAAAUAUAUAUGUAAUUUAUUAAGAAAUUAAAAAUUAGACUAUAAAUAUGUAUAUUUGAAAAAAAUAUUUAAGAGCAACAAUAAAUUCAAGAUGGUACACUAAGAAACGCCGUACAUAUCAAUACUAAGACAAAAACAGUACACCCAUUGGUACAGAACUAACUACCUUGAUUUUACUAGUUCUUAAUAUAUUUGUGUUAUAAUAAUUUGAUUUUGUUUUAUGACUAUUCAAACACUUUUUUUAUAUUUAUAAUAAUUUGAUAUUUGUGAUUACUUGAAUAUAUAUUUGUACUAUAAUAUUUAUAACACUUUAAAAAAUUACAUAUAACUAUAUCAUAAGUUAUAAAAUUUAAAAUGCAAAAAAGAAGUUAUCAUUAGUUAAUGAUUUUUUUUAUCAUAAAUAACAUAAGGGAGUAGUAAUUAAGAUUUUUAUAUGAAACAUAAUCAGGAUUUACAAAUUAAAGUUUUAAUAUUUUUGGUUAAAGGUAUAAAAUGUUGUUAGUAAAAAGUUCAAAAUUUAACUUGAAUCUUUAGAAAAAAAAAAUUGUAACCAAUUGAGCCGUAAGCGAAAAAAUCAAUUAAGUCUUUCUGCAAACAAAAAUUAUCGUUGGCCAGUUUAACUAUUAAUACAUGUUGGCAUGGCUCACAAAAGCAAUGAAAAAUUGACACAUGAAUAAAUAUACUAAUAUGAUCUGACACAUGGAUAAGUAUAUUAACAUGGUAUGCUACAUUAACAUAUAUUUUUAAAAAAUUUAAAAAUCAUAAAAAUAUUAAAAAUACACAACUAAAAUGAAUUUGGACAAAUGAAUAUUUAAGUUCAUCUAGAUGUGAAGAGCCAUUUAUCAGAUUUAGUUUAAAUGUGGUUUAAAAAAAUUGCAAAAAGUUAUUAAAUUUAUUAAAAUAUUUAAAAUGGAAAAAAUAUAAAAAAAUUAAAUUAUUAUUAUAUUUCCUUAAAAAUUCUUAUUUUUUCAAAAGGUUAAAAAAAUUAUAAAAAUUAUUAAAAAUAUUUAAAAAUGAUGAAGAUAGUCAAUUACACGUAAUAGUAUCAAAAUAUCACACAUUGUUAAUAAUUUGGAUUUUCAAUCACGUCCACUGUUGAUGCUAAAUAGCAGUUUUGGGUUGGUUAGCGAAAGUUUAACCCCUUUUUUCUUAAAAUUGAUUCUUAUAAUAUUUAUAAUGAUAAAAGUUUUACUAAAUGUUUACUUGUGCUUUUAGGAAAGUAGUCUAAGUUGUUUUUUAACUUUCUAUCAAAUGAUUUUCUUUAUUAUACUCGAACAUUAGCUAACUUUGAUGUAUGUUCAAAAAACACGAAUUGAAUGUAUAGAAUGAAAGCUUUUAUUAACUUUAUAAUAAUCGCAAACAUUUUGAACUCAAUAAAAAAUAAAAUGUCCUAUAAAUAAAUUGUCACUAUUUUUUUGACAAAAUAACGACAUUCAAUUGAUCUAUUUAGUCUUUGUUAAUAAAAAAGAAAGGAGUACAACAGUUUAAUUCGAAUAAUGGGUAAUUAAAUAAUAAUAUUGUAAUAAAAGAAUGCAGUAUUUUCUUAUGAAUGUCAUCUUAUUUUAACACUAAAACUACACUAUUAUUUAAAACUUUGAUUAAAUUAGGAUGAACUUCAACGAGGUGAUAAGAAAUUACGAAAAAGUAUAAUACUUUUAUAAAGCAGGGUAUGUGAUUAAUGUAAUUAAAAAAAUAAUAAUGUUUCUCCUCACAGGUUUUGUUUGAUAUAGAAAAUGGAGUUAUUAUAAUCAUAAAGACGUUAAUGAUUGUGAAUUAAAGUAAUAAUGUUAGGUGGGGAAGUGUGUAUUUUAAAUUAAUCAAUGCUUGACUUAAUUACGUAGUCUUUUAAUUAGUGACACCGAAAGCUAUCCAUUAAAAUAUUCUAUGGCUGUUUAACUUUUCACUGUUUUGCCACCUUAAUUAUAAAAAUCAAAUCUUAUGACACGUGUCAAAUACGAUUGGAUGACGUGGCAGUAUAUGGUAAGAAGGGAAUUUGAUCAUAUGACACGUCUCCCACUUCUACGGGGUCGUUUUUUAGGGAUAGAAAAAGCUCGAUUUUCUUAAGAGGCCAGGCAAACAUCCCCUCAGGAGCUAAAAGCAGAAAAUUAUUAUUAAUUUUAAUGAGUGGGUUUUUUCUUUGGACAUUUUGAGGAGGCAGGUAACUGAAUCUCUUGUCUCCCAGUCCCCACUUAAUAAUCCUUUCAUGACUAAAAUGCACAUGUUUGUUGACUUGUUUUUUACUUCUCACCUUAAUUCGAGGUUUAAGUUCAAUUUGAUAAAAAAUUAUAAUUGAUAAAUAAUAUUGGUAAUUAAAUUUUAUUAAAUUGAUUUUAAAACUCCAAUUAAAUUAUAUAUUUGACUGUAUUUAAUAAAUUUAACAAAAACAUAAAAAAUUCAAGCAUAAUAAUAUUAACAAAUAACUUUCAUUAAAUCAACAUUAAAAACUGAAUUAAAUACUAAAAAAUUGUGUACUAAAAUAUAUAAAUUUUAUCAAAUACAAAUAUCAUGUUAGAGAAAAAAAUACAAAUAUCACAUUAGACUAAAUAUAUAUUACAUACCACUCAUAUAAAAUGCAUUUCCCUUGUGAUAAAUAUAUAUAUAUAUAUAUUAAUUAUUAGCAAGGGUUGCUAAGGGGCUACAAAACUUGUGUAUGGUGGUUCCAACGUGAUGCGUGUUUAAGUAAUGUGAGUUAAGGUCCUCAACAGACAAAAAAAUAAAAGAGGAAAUGACCGUUAACCAAACUAAUUGAAAAACAAACAAAAAUGGAAUUAAUGAAAAAAAAAUGUGAAAGUUGGAAGAGUCAAAAAUAUUAAAAGUUUGCCUUAAAUUUGGGCCAAUGCGAUUAACUGCGGUAUGAGUGCAACACAGUACAGCCCUGUCCAGUCAACACGCAAAAUUUGAGUUUUCCCCUACAUUUAUCACCCCUGUCAAAUCACUAUAUCUCAACCGUCGGAUUGAAAUCUCUACGAGAUCCACGGCUGUGAUUAUCAAUGGGAUGUUCACGUGCACGGUAUACACCGUAUGCUGCAACCAGUUCAUGCCCUAUGUACCUUGGGAUCUAACAUUAGAUCCCAUUGUUCCCCUCAUGCAUGCAGUAAAAUUAAUAAUAAUAAUAAUCCCCAUGCAAAAGGAUAAACCUCUCAAGGAAAACAACACUCGCAACGUCUAAUAUGCGCCAGUAAGCUUAGUUGGCAAAAGACCGUUGAUUCCCAUGCACUGCACGUUACCCAAAAAACAAAAACAAAAGGAUAAUUUGUUUUUUUUUUAAAUUUAAAUAAGCAUAUAAUUUUUAGUAACUUUAUGAAAUAAUUCAUGCCCGUGGAAGAGAGGAUCCAAGGGAAAGGGUAACACCGUUCUCGACGGAGGCUUUGGAGUUAAGUUAUAAUACUAAUAGCCUUUUGAUAAUUGUGACUCAAAUGACCCCAUGAUUAACGGCGUUAACGUCGGGGGUCUAAAUGCAAAGAUAGCGAGCAGCCACUGCAUGUCCAUAAAUCGCGGUCUAAUUCUUUUUCUAUUAUUAAUUUGUUUUUGGAUUGGGAAAAUAUUUAUUAAUGGUCUGACAGUAUGUAGAAAAAUAGGGUAACGGCUAGUUGGUGGUGACGUGGAAGGGGACAAGAUGUCACGUCAGCUCACAGAAACCCUGCCACUGUAGAGUACUAAGAGGACAUCAGUCAGUCCUUAAGUAGUCGGGGAGAAUACCUUGGCAUUUAUAACUAAUUUUUAAAAAAAGAAAAUUAUAUGUUUUUAGGCUCAUGAAUUAGGAAUAGGGUUUUUCACCCUGGAAAAAAAAUUAUUUACCACAAUUAUUAACUGAAAUAAUAUGAAGGGUUUCCUGGGAAGCAGAGGCGAGACUAGACAUUUUUUGGGAGAGUCGAAUUAAAUUAUAUAUUUUUAUGAUAGUGAAAAUGUAUUUUUGUUAUUUUAAUAGUCUAUAUUUUUAUAAUUUUUAAAUGAUUAAAUUAAAAUUAUAUCAUUUAGGGGGGAAAAUGUAAUUUUUUCAUUACUAAUUUUGUAACACCCCAAACCUGGCCUAGAUGCAAUGGCCGAAUCCGAAGAUGUCACAAGAAAUAGGUUUUGAAAACAGAGUUGUUAUGUUAAAUCCUCUCAGUCUAUUAUAAGCAUAACCAAAAACGUUAAUUAAUUGUCUCUUUUGCCAAAACUUAUUUACAACGGAAGUUUAACAAAGCCGAUACCUUUCUAAAAACCCGAUUUGUAUUUUUUUUAGAAAAACUUUGUUUGUGUAAAAUCGUCGUUAUCAUAACACCUUUUAUCGUAGCGUGCAAUUUAACAAAUUAUCCAAAACCAACAGUCCAAAACCAUGCAGUCCAGAGAGUCCCAGAAAUUACAACUCUCAAAAUAAAACCAAAAUCGUAAAUAAAACCAAAAACUAAAAACUUUAAAUAGUUUACGGUCAAGUGGUCUCUGUUGAGUCCCUAACGCACCAAUCCGCCUAAGUUUGUGGAUUACCUAACAAAAUAGACAACAGAUGUGAGUUUACGAAAACUCAAUGUGUAACCCAACAGAAUUAAGCACGUAAACAAACAGAAUUAAACACACAGUCAGAAACAGAUACAGUUUCAGUUUCAGAAUCAAAUCCAGAUUCAAAUUACGAAAGCAGAUAUGCAUAAUUCCUACCACCAUCCUUUACACACCAUCUUCGACCAUCCUAUCACACCAUGUGGGGUUUAAAACACCCAGCCAACCCUAUACACGACAUUGUGCCCUCAAGACACAUAUCAGAUAAUAUGCAGUCAAGCUGCUAGAAUAAAGGUGAUUAACGCUGCACAUAAUACUUCCUCCUCAUAUACAAAUCCCACCCAAAUAACAGAUGCAGAAAAUAGAUACAGAUAUGACAGAUUUAACACGCUCAAUGUGCAUAUAUACAGAUAUUAGACAUACGUAUAACAAUACAGUCUGGCAUACGUUCAAUAUCCUAUACUGAUCAAUCUAUCAGAAUAUCAUAGCAUACAAAUUAAGGUUUAAUUAGCCCUUACCGGCCCUAUAGUAGGCCCACUAUUGAUCGAGAUGACCUGUGCGGCCCUAGAGAAAAUCUCAUAAUUAUAGACCCACACAUGUGGGCCCACAUGCCCAUAUUUGGCCUUGCCCGUAUAGCCCACACGGCCUGGCUCAGAAACUCACACGCCUAUGUGGGCCCAAAUGCCCGUGUGGCCCAUAGGCCCAACUUGGCCUUACCCGUGUGGCCUACAUGACCACACUCGAGCCAUCAUACGGUUGUAUCUUACGCACGGCCAUGCCUACGUCAUUCACACUGCCAUAUCUCGUACACAACCAUCUACACAAGCAACCAUACGCCCGUGUGGUGUUGACAAUGUAGUUUUUUUGGCUUUUGUCGAAACCUCAUUUUCUAUGUUUCGGAUACAUACCUGGUUUGUUUUAGACACUAUAGCAACCACGAACCCUCCAAAACCUAAGAAUUGACAUACCAAUGCUCAAAAUCAGUCUUAAAACACGAUUAAAUCAAAAACUUAAAACCAACAAUAGCUCAAAUCAAGCGAUUAUUACUUACCCCAACACUUCAAACAAUUGACUACAAUUUCAGAAAAAAAUCACGAUCUUCCCGGUUCAUUACUGCCAAAACAACAGUAUAACUCCAAUCAAAAUUUUUGGAAAAACACAAGUUACAGAAUAACAAAGCCUCACUUACCAGAAACGUGCGACGAAAAAAGAUAUAACGAGAACAAGGGUAUGACAGUAGAGAACAAGGGUAUGAUGGCAGACAAAAAGGAAAAUGAAAUCGAAUGGAGGAAACAAAAGAAAAAAAUGGCAGAGUCAAAGAAGACAAAGUGAAAUAACGUCAGUUCUUUUCCUAGGUAGAAAAAAUUUUUGAAAAAAGGUUUGAUAAAAAUUAAAAUAUCCACAAUCCCUUAUUUUUCUCCUAUUAUCUCCCAACCUCCUCAGAAUCUCAGUUCAACCGAAACAUUAUCAGUCAACCUAGAAAAAAUAUACAUCCACGCUUGCGCAGGGAUUCGAGCACAAGACCUCCAACACAUUAACUCCAUUACCACUUGAACCAGUAGGCUUAUUUUGAUAUGAGUUUAUAGGCAAUUUAAUAUAAGCCCACUGAACAAAGGUAAGACUUAAUUCGAAAAAAUACCAAAAUUUAGCAAAGGUGAGACUUGAGCCUAAGGCCCCUCAAACACAUAUAGAACACUUAACCAUUGAAGCAGACAAAUAUUUGUGUCAGAUAUUUACAGAAGCGGAAAUGAAUUAUUUAGGGCAUUACAACUUUACUCCCUAAAAGAAAUUUUAAACUCAAAAUUUACCUGAUCUGAACAGAUGAGGAUACUGCUGACGCAUCGAGUCUUCAGGUUCCCACAUGACCUCCUUAGUACCAUGAUUUUGCCACAGAACCUUCACUAGUGGUAUGAACUUCCUCUUUAAAACCUUAACAUCUCGAUCCAGAAUCUAAAUCGACUCCUCCUUAAAAGUCAAGUCCGGUACAGUCUCAAUGACGAAACAUGAAACAUCGUGAAUGCGGUCUAACUCCAGAGGUAACUCCAAUUGAUAAGCGACCGGUUCCACAUGCUUCAGAAUCCGAUAUGGUCAAAUAAACCUGGGUUUCAACUUGCCCUUACAACCGAAUCUCAAAACUUUUUACCAUGAAUAAACCUUAAGAAACACAAUCCCCCACAGAGUAUUCUAUAUCACGUCUCUUCAGAUCUGCAUAAGAAUUAUGUCUAUUAGAAGCCACUUUUAGAUGAUCUCAAAUCAAUUUAACCUUGUCUUCGGUCUUAGAAACCAACUCAGGAUCUAAAACCUAACGUUCAUCCAACUCAGUCCAACAUAGUGGAGUGCGACACUUACAACCAUACAAAGCCUCGUACGGUGCUAUCUGAAUGCUAGCCUGGAAACUGUUAUUGUAGGCGAACUCAGCUAGUGACAAAUAAUCUUCCCAAAUACGCUGAAAUCUAAUACGUAACUCCGAAGUAUAUCCUCCAGUAUUUGAAUCACCCUCUCAAAUUGACCAUGGGUCUGAGGAUAGAACGAAGUACUGAAGUCCAAUCUCGAACUCAGAGCCUCAUGCAACUUCUUCCAGAACUGAGAAGUGAAGCGAGGAUCUCUAUAAGAAAUAAUUGAAACAGGAACCUCAUGCAGUCUUACAAUUUCAGAGAUAUAGAGCUUCGCUAGCUUCAGCAGAGAAAAGUCAGUUUAAAUCGGAAUGAAGUGAGCAGACUUAGUUAAUCGAUCCACGAUGACCCAAACAGAAUCUUUCUUAGUGGGUGUCAAGGGAAACCCACUAACGAAGUCUAUAAUCACUCAUUCUCACUUCCAAAAAGGAAUCUUAAUGGUUGUAGCAAACCCGAAAGCAAUUGGUGCUUAGUCUUAACUUGCUGAUACGUCAGACAACAAGCUACGAAAUUAGUAACUUCGCGCUUCAAUCUCAGCCACCAAUACAAUUCACGAAGAAUGUGAUACAUUUUAUUACUACUGGAAUGCAUAGCAUAAUGGCUACUAUAUGCCUCCCUCAUAAUCGACUGUCUCAAAUCUGAAUCAUUCAGCACACAAAUCUGACCUCGAAAACAUAGCACCCCAUCAUUAUUCAACCCAAAAUUUGAAAUACUGCCACUCUCAAUCUAACGAAACUGCAAACCUAAAGACUCAUCCCCUAACUACUUAUCUCGAAUCUGAUCAAUCCAAGUCGACUUAACUUGCAACUUUGCUAACAGGCUCUCAUUAUCAAACAAGCUAAGUCGAGUGAACAUUGUUCUUAAAUCCGUCAUCGCCUUACGACUUAGAGUAUCGGCCACCACGUUGGCCUUACCAGGAUGAUACUCUAUCGUGCAGUCAUAAUCUUUAAGCAGCUCAAUCCAUCGAUGCUAUCUAAGAUUCAACUCAUUCUGAGUAAGGAGUUACUUGAGGCUCUUGUGAUCAGUGUAGAUAAUACACCUUUCACCAUAAAGAUAGUGCAUCUAGAUUUUCAAUGCAAAGAUUACAGCAGCCAACUCGAGAUUAUGCAUCGAAUAGUUUCCUUCGUAUGGCUUGAGCUGACAGGAUGCAUAAGCCAUAACCUUACCAUUUUACAUCAAUACACAUCCCAAACUGACAUGCGAUGCAUCACUGUAGGCCACAAACUCUUUACCAAAUUCAAGCUGUAUCAGAACAGGAGCCUGAGUCAAAAGAGACUUCAGCUUUUCGAAGCUUGAUUGUUGCGCAUCAAUCUAGAUAAAUGGAACACCCUUACACAGAAACUUAGUCAAAAGAGCUACAAUCAGAGAGAACCUCUCGUCAAACCACUGAUAAUAUCUCGCCAAACCCAGAAAACUAUAGUUUUUAGAUAUGUUUUUAGGCUGUUUCCAAUCUAGCACAACCUUAUAUUCCUUGGAUCAAUACGGAUCUCCUCAACAGAAACCACAUGCCUCAGAAAAGUCAUUUCACACAACCAAAACUUAUACUUGUUCAACUUAUCGUAAAGUUGUUUCUCACGUAGAAUCUGAAGUACUACUCUAAAAUCCUCAUCAUGUUCAUCAUCGAUCUUAGAGUACACCAGAAUAUCAUCGAUCAAAACCACGAUGAACUAAUCUAGAUAUGACUGAAAGACUCGGUUCAUCAGACCUAUGAAUGCAGCCGAGCAUUCGUUAGACCAAAAGGCAUAACUAGGAACUCGUAAUGUCCAUAAUGAGUCCUAAAUGUAGUCUUAUGAAAAUCAGCUUUCUUAACCUCAAUUGAUGAUACCCAGAACGAAAAUCUAUAUUAGAGAACACUGAAACCCCUUGGAACUGAUCAAACAAGUCAUCGAUCCUCGAAAGUGGAUACUUAUUCUUCACAGUUAACUUAUUCAACUGUCGAUAAUUUAUGCAUAUCCUCAUGGUCCCAUCUUUCUUCUUAAAAAACAGAAUUGGUGCCCUCACGGAGACACACUUAGACGGAUAAAACCACGAUCCAGAAGCUCUUGUAGUGAAGCUUUAAGCUUUGUAAGCUCCUUCGAUACCAUACGAUAUGGAGCGAUAAACACCGGAGCUGUACUUGAUAGAAGCUAAAUUUUAAACUCAACUUCCCGAUUCAGAGGUAAACCCGGUAACUCCCCAAGAAAGACAUUAAAAAAAAUCCCUCACUAUUAUGAUAUCCCAACAAAAAAGUCCCUAGAAUCAGAAACACUGACGUAAGCCAAGUACACCUCACACCCUUUUCAAACUAGUUUUUUACCCAUAAGAGUAGAGAUCAUAUUGGACAAAUAGUCUCGACGCUCACCAAUCACAACGACCUCUAUAUCAUCCUUGGUCCUCAGAACGACCCUCUUAGAUACGCAAGCUAAACUGACUCGGUGCUCAACCAAUCAGUCCAUACCAAGAAUUAAAUCGAACUCCUUAAACGGAAGCUCAAUCAGAUUUACCAGAAAAAGAGCCCUUUGUACCACUAACGGAACAUCCCUAUAUAGUUUACUAACCCGAACAGACUGCCCCAAUAGACUUAGUACAGUGACCUCAAUAAAAGUACUCUUAAUAAAAAAAUUUAAGUUUUUAGAUAUAAUGCUAGCUACAUAGGAGUGAGUAGAACAUAUGUCUAUCAAAGCAGUAUAAGGCACAUCAAAUAGGAGUAAUGUUCUGAUGAUGAAAUCAGGAGCAUCUUUAUCCUCUCGGCGUCGUGUCGUAUAUACCAGCACAAGUUGUCUUGCCUCAGUCUGGCCAGCACCUCUACCUAGUGGUCUCUGCCCACAACCCAUACCAUUACUACCCCCAGCCUAUCCACUACCUCUAGAUGGCUGUUGAACUGUCCUCUGAGGUUGCACAGAACCUGAUUCUGAAGCCUACAUCUGGUUAACUCUUUGUGGACACUCUCGAAUACGGUGCUUAAAUGACCCACAUAUCAGACAAGCUCCUAUCCUCCUCCAACACUCGUCCGGAUGGUGUCUGCUACAAUCAUCGCACAGCUGAAUCCCAUAAAGAGUAACAGGAGCCCUUACUCUAACUGUCCCAUCAGAUCUAGCCUUUUUCUUAGUCCUCUGAAUAGAACUAGAGGGCUCCGAAUCAUUUUUGUUCUUACCCCUCUUUCGAUCUCUAUUUUGGCGCUCCACGCACUUAACAUCCUCUGCAAUUCUACUUUUCUGAACCAGAAUCGCGAACUUCUGCUCCUUCAGUAAAGUAAUCAAAACCUUCAAGUUAUUCCUCACACCGCCCUCAAAGCGGACGCACCUCUCAUACUCAGACACUACCAUGCCUCGAGCGUAACAUCUCAGCCUCAGAAACUCAGCCUCACACUCAGCCAUAGAUCUAUCGCCUUGCGUGGGAUUCAUGAACUCAAGCUUACGAUCAUCUACAUAAUCCUCUUCCAUGUACUUACUCUAAAAAGUGGUCUUAAAUAAUUCCCAAUUCAGACGAUCAGGCUGAGUACCCUCCUCAACUGUCAGCCUUAUUACGAAGCAAAGAGACUACACCUUUCAGUUUCUACUUAGGAGUACAGUCUAGGUCAUUCAUGAUCCUUUUGGUGGCCUCCAACCAAUACUCGGCCAUAUUAGGGACGACUCUAGCGACACCUCUAAACUACUCAGCACCAUAGGACCAGAGUCGUUCAGUUACCAACCCUCGGCCCCCAGCUCCAAAAUGGGGUCCAGCGAUCCUUUCCAAAAUUUUUAGUAUGGCUUGGGACAGUGCGUGAUCCCCAACCGAGUGACUUUGAGAUCCAGUCUCAUUAGCAAGUGAAACUGAUGUCUCACUCGUAUCUAAGUUCGGCAUACUACCCAGAGAAGAAAAUUCAGCUCGAGCUCUCCUAUGGCCUCUACAACGGCCCUGAAUACCAUUUUCGUGAGUUUUACCAACGCUUAAUGUAUAAUUCGUAUUUUAUCUAUAUUAUAAAAUUUUAUACACCAGUUCCAGUAUUUAUUAGCAAAUGUUUUAUGCAAAAAUUAUCAAAAGUUCAGAAUUGUUUCCAAAGGUUUCAGUCUCUAACUACUCAGUACUGUUUCAGAAAGUAUUAACUACAAUAUUUUUAAAGUUUUCUAUAAAAAAAUUAGAAAUACUUAUAGGAUUAGCGUCGAAGACUCGGUGUUCCACAUAUUUUCCAAUUUAUCCAUAAAUAUUUGAAAACCAAUUAUUUUCAAAAUAAAAUUUUAAAAUCCAAAAUUCACAGCUCGAGUUUUACAACAUGGCUCUGAUACCACUAAAUGUAACACACCAAACCCAGUCUAGACGCGAUGGCUGAAUCUAGAGAUGUCAUAAGGAAUGAGUUUUAAAAAUAGAGUUAUUACGUUAAAUCCUCUAAGUCUAUUAUAAGCAUAACCGAAAAAGUUAAUUAAUUGUUUCUUUUUUUCAAAACUUAUUUACAAUAGAAGUUUAACAAAAUCGAUACCUUUCUGAAAACCUGAUUUGUAUUUUUUUUAGAAAAAAAUUGUUUGUGUAAAACCAUUGUUACCAUAACACCUUUUUAUCAUAGCGUGCAAUUUAACAAAUUAUCCAAAACCAAAACCAACGUCCAAAACCAUGCAGUCUAGAGAGUCCCGGAAAUUAUAACUCUCAGAUUAAAACCAAAAUCCUAAAUAAAACCAAAAACUAAAAACCAAAAACCAUAAACUAAAAACUUUAAAUAGUUUACACCACAUUGUGCCCUUAAGAUACAUAUAGGAUAAUGUGCACCUAAGCUACCAGAAUAAAGGCAAUUAACGCUGAACAGAAUAUUUCCUUCUCAUAUACAAAUCCUACCCCAAUAAUAGAUGCAGAAAACAGAUACAGAUACGACAGAUUUAACAUGUUCAAUGUGCAUAUAUACAGAUAUUAGACAUACGUAUAGCAAUACAGUCAGGCAUACGUUCAAUAUCUUACACAGAUCAGUCUAUUAGAAUAUCAUAGCAUAAAAAUUAAGGUUUAAUUAGCCCUUACUGACCCUACAGUAGGCCUAUAAUCGAUCGGGAUGACCCGUGCGGCUCUAGAAAAUAUUUCAGCAUUAUAUACCCACACAUGUGGGCCCACACACCCGUAUGGCCCACACGCCCAUAUUUGGAAUUGCCCAUGUGGCCCACACUGCUUGGCUCAGAAACUCACAAGCUCGUGUGGGCCCAAAUGCCCGUGUGGCCCACACGACCAUACUCUAGCCACCAUGUAACAGUCCGAUUUAGAUCCUAAUCGGAAUGGUAGUUUCGGGACCACGAAUCUGAGUCAAAAAAUAUUUAAAUAUUAUUAUUCGUGUUUAUUAUAAGUGAAUUUACAUGUGUGAAAAUUUCGUACGAAAAUUUGAUUGUUUGUGUGAUUAAUUUGAAUAAAGGACUUAAUCGCGUAAGUUGAAAACUUGAUAGUUUAAAUCAUAAAGGUUGAUUUGAUAGUGGCUUUUUAAUAUGGAUUAUUUAUGUUGCAAAUAAUCCUUUAUUUUUGUAAUGGCCGAAUGUACACUUAAUGAAUAUGUUUAUGAUAUUAUUUUUAUAAGUUUAAAUAAAUAAAAUAUGUUAAAUGUUAACAUAUAAUAUAUUAAAACAUAAAAAAAUAAUAAAGCCAUGCAUUCAUACUUUGUUAUUGCCGAAAAUAAAAUAAGAAAGAAAAUAAAAAAGAAACAAGGUAUUUGGCCAUUGUUGGUUCAAUUUUAAGGUAUGUUUUGUUUCGAUCUUUGAUGAUUUUAAGGUUUUUGAGAUCGUUGCUUUAAAUACUACCCGACCCAUGCUUAAAUUUUUUAUUUUGGUGAAUAUUUGUGUUAUGUGAUUGAUGAAUAAUUGUGUUUUGUGAUGUUUGAUGAUGAAAUAUUACAAAUAUAUUUUAGAUUAACAUUUUGUAUUGGAGUUUUUGAUGAUUUUGAGUUAUUAGAAUUAAACUGCAAAAAUAAUAAAUUUAAGGACUAAAAUGCAAAAUAAAUGAAAUAUAUGGACUAGUAUGAGUAUGUUGAAAAUUCGGCUCAACUAUGUUGUUGUGAGAUUUGGUGUAUUUUGUGUUUUGUGCAAUUUGGACUAAAUUGUAAAAGUUUGAAAUAUUAGGGGUAAAAUGGUAAUUUGUCUAUUUAUGUGUUGUUGGAUUAAAUUGAAUGAAAUUGUAUUUAAAUGAGGUUAAUUUGAAAUUAUAGAGAUCAAGAACAAAGGAAAUCAGACUUGGAUCGGGGAAAAACAAAAAUAGUCGAAUAGCCGAUUCGUAACGUCCGUCGAUAUUCGAGGUAAGUUUUUAAGCAAUUAAACAUGGUUUAUUUUGAACAUAGAAUGUUUAACUAUGAUGAUUCAAAUUUUAUAAUCUAUUAUUAUGUUAGUCGAAUGUGAUAUAUAUAAAUGAUUUAAUGUAGUUGAGUUUUAUUCGAUUGAUUUGAAAACCAUGAAAGUGUGUAUGUGUUACAUGGAAUAUUGAACUACUCAAUAUGUGAAAUGUUGUGGAAUGAUUCUAUAAUUUGGAUAUUCGGCCUUUGAGCCUAGCAAGCUUUCUGCUGGUGACAUUGAUCGGGCUUCGUGCCUAGCAGGCUUAUUGCCAGUGAAUAAAUAUCAGACCUUGGGUCUAGUAGACUUUGUGCCAGUGUGUAAUUCAUGCUUAUGCCUAGCAGGUUUUAUACCGGGGAUUUGUGUUCAAUUCUAUGAUUAUAAGAGUUCAAGUUACUAUGGAUAUUGAGGAAGUGAAAUUGAGUUGAAUGACAUUGUCUAAGUUCGGCCACAUAGGUAAGUAUAUGUGAGCUUAUAGUGAACUUGAAUAUUCGAUUACAUGUGAGUUUAUAUUGAAUUUGUGUAUUCGGUCAUAUGUGAAGUUAACUUGAAUGUGCAUAUUCGGCUAUAUGUGAUGUUCUAUUGAAUUUGAACUAUAGGUUACAUAUGAUGUUUUAUUUAACUUUUAUAUAUUCGGCCAUAUGUGAGUCCAUUAAGAAUUUUGUGAAUUCGGCCAUACAUGUAAGUGCUAAUGUGAUAACAUAUUUGUUCUUGUAUAAUCAGCUAUAUAGGAAAUAUAUAUAUGGUGAUAUAUAUUCGAUUUUAAACAUUCGGCUAAGGUAUCUUAAUGUGUUAAUGUGUAAUAUUAUUGAUAUAAUUCGGUUAGUUGAAUGUUUUGAUUAUUCAUUGAGUUGUUUAUUAUGCUUAAAGCUUACUAAGCUAAGUUAGCUUACUCUGUGUGUUUGUUUAUUUUGUUUUAUAGAUUUUAGUUGUAAGUCACGAGCUCGGGGAUCAUUAUCGAAGUCAUCCACACUAACGUCAACUUUCGGUACUAUUAAAAGUUUAUUUUCGAACUUAUAUCAUGUAUAGGCUAAUAUGUAUUUUGUUCAACUUCGAAUAUGUAUAUAUAUAUUGAGCCAUGUGAAUAUGGCUUAUCUUUAGAGUUUGGAUAUGGUUAUGUUUGGCAAUGGUUUAUCACAUUUUGAUUAUAUGUAAAUGUGAAUGGUAUUAUAUGUGCUGGUAAUAGCUUGAAAUGAUAAGUGGAAUUGGCUGUGGUUGGUCGCUUGGUUUUGAUAUGUUUAAAUAUAAAUAAAUAUGGUUUGAUGAUUUGAUUUUGAUGUACGUUUAUUCAUUUAUAAACGUGAGAUCAGGUGUUAGCAUGUUUAAUGUAUACUAGAAAUACAUGAUAUGAGGCAUGCCUAUAUUCGAAUAUGCAAAGAUUAGUUUAGUUCGGUUUGCAUGGAAAAAAAAUGUAUAAGUACUAUAAUUAGUUAUGAGUUUAUUAAUGGUGAAUUAUUGAGAUUUUAUUGUUUAAUAAUGUUUGUAAGUGAGACAUUGAUAAAUGUCCAUUUGAAUAGUGAUUUUAUGCAAUAGUACACCAUGAGCAUUAUAUGCAAUUUUGCAAAAUUGAUAAUUAUGUGUACGUAUAUACAUGUACUUUGAUUGUUAAUUCGAAUGAUGGUUUGGGUAUAUAAUGAAAGUAUAUGCGUAUGUUUAUAUUUGUUAAUGAAAAUGUGAUUAUUUAAAAGGUAUAGAUUCGGUUAAAUUUGGAGGUAUGAUUCGUGAAUGCAAUAUGAUAAAUAAAGCAUGUUUAAUAUUUAAUUAGCCAUGUGCUUUAUAUAUAUUUAUGAGUAUGAAUUGUAUGAAUAUGUGAAUGUUUGUAAUUUUAUUUUUGCUCAGUAAUGCCUUGUAACCCUAAUUCGGCGACGGGUAUGGGUUAGGGGUGUUACACACCACACAGUCGUGUCUUACACACGGCCAUGCUACGCUAUUCACAUGACCGUGUCUCGUACACGGCCAUCCAUACGAGCGUAUAGGUACUUCAUUGCUAUCUGUUUGGCAUUUCACGCUUUCGAUAAUAUGCUUUGUAACCAUAUCAGUUUUGCAUUUCUACAACCAAGACAAUUAUAGGAAUAGUGGGCUUCACCUCAACCAAUGGCUUGAUACAUAUGCUGACAUAUACUAGAAGAUGAUGCUUUAUAAACCUCAUACAUAAGUUUGAGAUCAUAAUCAUAGGGAAAAAUGGCCUCACCAGUAUAAUCAACAUAUUUUUUUUCUCCAUCAAAGUAAUAUCCUUAACCUCAUUGUCCAAAACCUAUGUUAGAGAUUGGGGUAAGAAGAUUUUUGAGGGGGAGUGACUAUGACAAUGGAGAAAAGCUUAAACGUGACUUCUGGCGAUAGCGAUCGUUGUCGCAUUGACUCGUGUUUUAACUUUUUAUGUACCGUCACUAUCACUUACCCCCUGAAAGUUUUUUUACUCUCACAUCUGACAAAAGUUUUGGACAAUGAGGUUAAGGAGACUACUUUGAUGGAGAAAAAGAAUAAGUUGGUUAUACUAGUGAGCCCCUUUUUCCCCUAUGAUUAUGAUCUUAAACUUAUGUAUGGGGUUUAUAAAGCAUCAUUUUCUGAUAGCAUAAAACUUGAACUGUGACCGCAUAACUACCAUCAACUAGGGGUUCAAGUUAUGUUAGAACCCAUGAUCGCAUAACUACCGCCAACUAGGAUCCCUAGUUAUACUUGAACUCGUGACUGUAUAACCACCGUGAACUGGGAGCCCGAGUUGCAAUGUGACAUCUUCUGAGGUGAUGGUGCACUCCCCACACUGGAAAUGAAAUGUGUGGGGCUUGAAGUCUCACAACAUCAUUGUAAACUCAAACAUACCUGAAAACUAUCAUAAUUUCUUCGUAAAACACAAACACAAUCAAUUCUUUCUCCCCAAAUUUUCAACACCCAACAAAAAAAACAACUUUUUGAAAGAACGAAACUUAAAUUUGAAAAAAAAGGACCUAAUUUGCUAAUUAACUUUUUAAAAUGACAUUUUUGCAAUUGUUUUAUUGUAUAUUUAUAUGAUCUUUUCAAAAUAUAAACAUAUUAAAAAAAUUACGAUAUCCCCCAAGUUAAAUUUUAAUAUUUAAAUUAAAAAUAAAUAUUAUUACAGACUUCAAAUAUGAAAAUAUUUGAAAAUAAAAAUUUUAGGAUUAAUCAACAAAGAGUUUUAAUUAUAAAAUUUAUAUCAAAGAGGAAUAAUUUAAAAGUAUUAAAAAUUUGAUAAUACAAACAUACCAUCAAAUUUUUGAAUAAUAAUUAGUGACAAUAGUUAUACUUAGCAUAUAAUUUUGCAAUAAAUAAGAAUACAAAAAUAGAAGAAUUUAUUUUUAAAAUAUUUUGAAUUUAUUACUACUUUACAUUUAUAUUUAAAAAAAAAGACAUAUAUAGGUUGUUGGUUUAUCAAUUUAAUUAACUCACCCCGAUCCCUCUUUUUCUAUAGACAGACUUUCUAUAUUGUUUGUCUAAUAUAUACCAACACUCGGUCUAGAACUACCAGUUUUGCCUUUUCCUUUAGCUUUUUCGUGCUCACUAUCGAUCUUACCGCUUUCUUAUUCGACCUAUCAAAUUUCUUAAGCAUUUGAACCGACACACCCAACCAUAACACUAAGAGCUUGUUUGGUUUGGUGUAUUGGCUAAGCCAAUACACCCCUAAUCGGUGGGGCCCACCUAAUACCAAUCUAAGACGCCGUUUGGUUGAGCGUAUUGCUAAUACGCGUGUAUCCCCUUACUUCCCUAAUCGGUGAAAAGCACCGAUUUCUAUUCCCCCCCUUCUUCCCAGAUUAGAUGACCCUACCCUAAACCUUCCCUCUUUUACCCCUAAUCGAUCCCCUCUGUUUCUCUUCCGUUUCCCACCUUCAUCCGAAUUGCUUCCUUGUUUCAUUGCUUUUUCCCAGUAUUAUUUUCUUCCCUUUUCUGCCGAUUUGCUCCCCCGAUUAUUUUCUUUUCUAUUUCGGCCGAUUUGCUCACAGUUUCUGCCGAUUUGCGUCAUCGGUUAGUCUAUGUUUCCCGAUAGAUUAAUAUCCUUUGCUAUUGUAGAUGAAAACCAAUACUUUCGAGGUAAAUAUGAUCUAUUGUUUUUAUCUAAUCGGUUUCCCCUUUUGCUUUUUUCAGGUUCUUCUUCAUUGUGCCCCGAUUUGCUAAUAGGUUAGUUUUAGCCAAUUUUAUUCUGUUUGUAUUGCAUGUUGAAUUGAAAUGUGUUUUCUGUUGUUGGUUAGGCUUAAGAAAUGCAUGCCGUUCGAAGUUUUUCUCUCUUCUCUGCUAAUCUUCGAUUUCUGUUUGUUCUGUUGUAAUUUUUGAGUCCUUUUCUAAUCUCCAAAACCGCGAAUGAGAUUUCUUCCAAUGUUUGUUUGUUUAAGUGCCUGAACUGAGUAGCAAAAAUAGGUAAGAUCAUUGAGUUCUUUUGGUCCUCUGAAAGUAGCAAAAAUAGGUAAGAUUUCUGCAGUUCGAGUUCUUUUGUUUGUUUGUUCUGUUGUAAUUUGGUCCUCUGAAAGUAGCAAAAAUAGGUAAGAUGAAAAUGUUAGAUGAUAACGAAUGUUCAAAACAAUUUAUAAUGUUAAGAAUAUUGAAUUUCAUGCUGAGUGCAGAUCAGAGAAACUAGAAGCUGUUAGAUGCAAUUUGUGUAGUCUGGCUUUGGGGUUUAGGGGUGAAGAUACUGAUACUGGUACUUAGAGGUCUUUCAUGUAUUCCAUUUUUUCUAAAUAGUUAAUUAGGAUGAACAGAAAUAUGAUUUUUUUAAGAUAUUAAACAUUUUGGAAUUUGACAGCUUGUUAUUGAUUGAAUAGGAUGUUUGAUAUGAGUAAGAAUUUCUAUUUUCUUUUUGUGUUUUAAUCUAUGAAUUUGGGCAAGAUAUGAAUUUGAGUCAUAUGUGUAUAACUACUUUGUUGUAAAUUACGAAUAAAAUUUGAUAUUUUCAGCCUUUGAUAAACAGAAAAGCAAUGAUGAGUUGGAUUUUCCAAUCAGUGUAAUAUGAUUUUUUUCUUCUAACCAAGCUAUCUAUAUGUUUAUGUUUAAUUGUAGGUCCAAAGUUCUGAAUUCUAUAGUCAAACUUCUAAUGUUUCAUCGGAACUUUUUAAAAAGCAAUAAUAUUUUUGCAAAAUUCCCUACAACUACCUUUUAUCAACUUGUUACAGUCAUUAAGUUCUAUUGUUGGUUUUUGAACUUAUCAAAGUACAUUGUGUUUGGAUCAUUUAUUAAACAUAAUUAUGUAUUUUCUGCUAGUAAUAUCACAAGAUUUUGUUGGUUUGUUCUGGACAUUGUUUUGAUAGUCUGUUGGAAAAUGUUAUUUUAGUUUGUUAGUGAGUAUAAGAUGAAACUGUUGUGGAAGAUGAAAUGUUAUUUUAGUCUGCUGGACCUUGUUCUUGAUUUGUUAGUCAAUAGAAUUUGUUAUUUUAGUUUUUUUGGACCUUGUCUGUUGGAAAAUUUUGAUUUGUUCUUGAUUGGGACGAGUAUAGGAUUUGAAGAGCAUGUGUUUUGAACAUAGGCCGUGAUAAUACAAAGGAAAAAGUCAGCCAUUAAAACAAGCAAGUAAUUACUUUCAGUUUCAAAUAGCAUUCAAAAUAGGCUUUCCUCAUUUGCUUUCAAAAAAAUGCUGAUGUUCUUGAAAAAACUUGUAAAAGCAAGUAAUUAAUUUCAUUAAAAUACCUUACCUUUCAAGCAUCACUUUUCAUGCCCUUCAUGAUGUUUUAGGGUGAAAGUUUGUAAUCUAUUUACCAAAGCUAAAUUAUAAUUAUAUCUUUCUUUAUAUGAUAUUUCACCGACCAAAGUAAGCUAAUUUAAUGUGAUUAAUUGCUCUCUUUUUAUUAUGGUUUACGUCACUAUCGCUCAAACCAUAUUAAUUUCGUUUACUUUUGUCUCUAAUUUUUUUUUACAUUGGUAUUUAAAUUAUUUAUCGAUUACUGUUUUUAGUCAAAUAAUUUAACGAGUUUAAAAAAUAAAUACUCCAUCCGAUUAUUAUUUUUAUUCAUAUUUAACAAUCUUAAGAUUUGCUUACCUAGUUUAUUACUUGUAUAAUAUUUGUCAUGAGAGCAAUUUUAAGUUAAAAUUGUCACUUAAUCCAAUUUAACAAAGUAAAAGGAUUAAAUUUUUAAAAUUAUAAAUAAAUAAAUUAAAUUUUAAAUGUGUAAAAAAUAUAGAGACGAAAGAAUAAUUAAACCAAAAAUGGGGCUUGUGACCUAAUCUAUCAAAAAAAAUUCUUUAUGCGGCAAAGGUUGUUAUUAUUUAAAAUAGUACAGGUAAUUUAUUAUAAAUUUGAUGUUUAAUUAAAUUAUAAAUAUUAUGAUACUAAUAAUGAGAACAUUAUUAAUAACAUAAAUAUAAUUGUAAUUAUUAUAAUUUUUAUCUUUAAUAUUAAUAAUUUGAAAUUAAUAAUAAACAUGAAACCUGUUUGUUAAGUAUUAAUGUUGAUAUAAUUAUUAUAAUUUUUAUCUUUAAUAUUAAUAAUUUGAAAUUAAUAAUAAACAUGAAACCUGUUUGUUAAGUAUUAAUGUUGAUAUAAUUUUAUGUGGAGAGAAUUAUAUUUUUAUAUUAAUUAAUAAAAAUUAUCAUAUAUAUCUAAAAUAUACGUAAAAAUUAUCAUACACCAACAAUGUUUUUUAGGGUAAAUAACAUUAAACCAACAAUUAUACAUACACCAACAAUGUUGUUUAGGGUAAAUAACAUUAAACCAACAAUUAAACCAACAAUUAUACAUACACCAACAAUGUUUUUUAGGGUAAAUAACAUUAAACCAACAAUUAUACAUACACCAACAAUGUUUUUUAGGGACAAUAACAUUAAACCAACAAGUAAUUUUAGGUCAAUUAUACAUACACCAACAAUUAAUUUUAGGUCAAUUAUACAUGCUUUAUAAUUUCUUUAUUGUUUGGGUGAUUCAUAAAGAAAUGAAAUUAAAGUUGCAACGAUAUCAUUUAGUAUCAACUAUUUUGCUUCGUGUGUUCUAAAUUUGUAUUGUUUAUUUUUAUUUUAUAAUGUGUAAUUGCAACUUCAAUUCAUUGAUAGUGUGUGUUAUAAUUUUAAUAUGUUGCAGUAAUGGCUCGUCUGCAUUUAAUUGCACAAAGUGUGAGGCGUAAAAGAAUUGGUCUUGCUUUGACAUUAUGGUUGGAAAUCUGUAGAAUUGCGAUUUGGUUCUUGUUUAGAAUGGGUGCCAGCCUUAGCCUACAGACUUAUCAACCAAGGAUUAGGUCCUACACCUUCGAUUUGUAUGCAAAACGGGAUUAUGUGAAGAGGCUUGUAUAUGCUAGUGACGAGACUUGUAUUGAACAAGUUAGGAUGAAUAGAACUGCCUUUUGUAAACUAUGUGAGAUGUUAGAAUCGAUAGGGGGAUUGAAGUCGUCAAGGUUCAUGCUUGUUGAUGAGCAAGUAGCAAUGUUUUUACAUAUCAUCUCCCAUCACCUGAAAAAUCGAGUUAUCAAGCAUCACUUUAGAAGGUCCGGGGAAACUGUAAGCAGAGCAUUUCAUAGUGUUUUAGAUGCUGUCAUACGCUUACAAGAUGUCUUAUUUAAAAAGCUAGAGCCAAUUACAGCCGACUCUUCUGACACAAGGUGGAAAUGGUUUAAGGUAGUAGAUUGAGUUUUAGAUAUAGCUUGUACAACAUUUUUAGUUGACUUAGAUUUAAAUUAGUAUUCUAACACAAGGUUUUAUAUCAUGUGAUAUAGAAUUGCUUAGGUGCUCUUGAUUGAACCCACAUAAAGAUUAGGGUGCCAACAGCUGAUAAACCUAGAUAUCGAACUCGAAAAGGUGACAUAGCAACAAAUAUGCUAGGUGUUUGUACACCUGAUAUGCAAUUUGUUUAUGUUCUUCCUGGUUGGGAAGGUUCAGUUGCCGAUGGACGGGUGCUCCGAGAUGCCAUCAGUAGAAGACAUGGACUUAAAGUUCCUCAUGGUACAGUGUAUACUUAGAGGAAUUUGAAUUACUCAUUAAGAUCAAACUUUGUUUGCUGAAUUAAUCAUUUUUUAGCCAAUUUAUUUUAUAGGUUGUUAUUAUCUAGUUGAUGCUGGAUACACAAAUUGUGAGGGAUUUCUUGCACCAUUUAGAGGACAGCGAUAUCAUCUGAACGAGUGGCGUCAGGGUUAUCAGCCAAGUUCUCCGCAAGAGUUUUUUAAUAUGAAACAUGCCUCAGCACGUAAUGUCAUUGAAAGAUGCUUUGGCUUAUUAAAACUUAGAUGGGGAAUACUUAGGAGUCCAUCGUUUUAUCCUGUAAGGGUGCACAAUAGAAUUAUUAUUGCAUGUUGUUUGCUCCAUAAUUUUAUUCGAACCCAUAUGAGUAUUGAUCCCAUUGAAGCGGAGGUGGGAGAAGGAUUACCUACUAAUGUGGUGGAUGACGAUGAACCGAAUAUCACAAAUAUUCAUCCAUCGGAUGCUUGGGCAACUUGGAGGAUGGAACUAGCCAACCAAAUGUUCGAUGAAUGGCAAGCAUCUAGAAAUUAGUUAGGUUUAGGGACAAAUUCAGUUUGAAUUGAUUUGUUGAUGUUUUUUUAUGUAUAAACUUUGUGAAACUUUGGUGGUCUUUAUGAAACUUUAUGAAACUUUGUUGAAUUAUAAUGUAAUUAUCUUUUCAUUAAGCAUGUGUUAUAAAUUUAAAUUUAGUAUUGAACUACCGAUAUAAUAUUAUAAACUGUUCACCCAACAAUUAAAUGAUAUUCAAAAUAGUAAAUAAUGUUAAUUUGUUUUUUUUUUUUUAAGAACAAUAUGUCAGGUGUUCCACCAACGGGUGCUUCUUCUCAAGCUUCUCGAGGAAGCAAAAGAAAAUGGGUUCCAGAGGAGGAUGCAGCCUUGGUUUCUUGCAUGGUGGAUUUGCACAAUGUAGGAACAUUUAAUGCUGAUACCGGGUUCAAAGCCGGUUAUUUGAACGAGCUAGAGAAAAUGCUAGAAAAGGCUUUACCAAGAGCAAUGUUGAAGGCGAAACCAAAUAUUGAAUCUCGGAUUAGGUGCCUAAAAAGGGAAUGGUCAGUCGUCUACGACAUGCUUAAUGGCCAAAACAACAGUGGUUUUGGUUGGGACGAGCAUAGGCAGCUCGUUGUUGCUGAAGAUGGAGUUUGGGAAUCCUAUGUAAAGGUAAAAUGUAUUUCAAGUAUUUAUUUGUUUUUUUAAAAAACUUAUAACUAAUAUGAUUUCCUCAUUUUUUUUAGAGUCACAAAGAAGCCUCUCAGUUCAGACAUCGUUCUUUCCCUUACUACAACCAGCUUACUGCCAUAUACGCAAGAGAUCGGGCGACUGGGAAAGACGCUCAAACAGCUGCUGAUGUUCUUGAAGAAAUACAUGCUAAGGAUGAUCGUACUACAGAUAUGAAUGAAGAGAGAAACACAUUCUAUGACUGCGAAGCUGACGUCUCUUUAGACGACAUGGAUGUUUCCGGUAUGGAUCCGCGAGGAGAUAGAGAUCAAGGGGGUUCCUCAUCUUCAAACAAGAGAAAAAGAAAUAUGAUGCUCGUGAUAAUGUGUAUGCUUCAUUUGAGGAGGCUGCCACCUUGUUGGGGGAAAAAAUCCAGGCCGUUGGCGAUCAAAUCAGUAGGACUAUGGCCUCCGAGGUGGUAGUUCAGCAGAAGUCUGAAGAAAAGAUGGAAGAGAAAGCUUCAAAUUUAUAUUCAGCCUUAUGGUCAAUUGAAGGUUUAACCGACGAUCAGCGGUAUGAUGCUUUGAGUAAAAUUCCCGAUCAUCCAACUCAAAUGAUCGUUUUCUUCAGUUUACCUUCUGUUGCCCGAUUGGAAUGGGUCAGAAGAUUUCUUUCUCACCAUUAAAUAUCAAUGUUCAAACUUUUUGAUGUUGUAAAACUUUUGAACAUAUUGAUUAUGAUGUACAAUUUCAUUUUCAUCUAACUUUUUCUUAGUAUAAGUUAAUUAUGUUUAUGCAGAAUAUAAUUUUCAAGUUAUAUAUUUAAUAAUAAUUAUGUUAAUUUAUAUUUUACAGUAUCAUAUAUUAUGAUUUGAGUAAAUUAAUAUAAGAAUAUUAAUUAUUAAGAAUUUUUUUAAAUUAUAUAGUUUAAUUAAAAUAUAUUUAAUAAUAAUUAAGUUAAUUUAUAUUUUACAGUAUCAUAUAUUAUGAUUUGAGUAAAUUAAUAUAAGAAUAUUAAUUAUUAAGAAUUUUUUUAAAUUAUAUAGUUUAAUUAAAAUAUAUUUAAUAAUAAUUAUGUUAAUUUAUAUUUUACAGUAUCAUAUAUUAUGAUUUGAGUAAAUUAAUAUAAGAAUAUUAAUUAUUAAGAAUUUUUUUAAAUUAUAUAGUUUAAUUAAAAUAUAUUUAAUAAUAAUUAUGUUAAUUUAUAUUUUACAGUAUCAUAUAUUAUGAUUUGAGUAAAUUAAUAUAAGAAUAUUAAUUAUUAAGAAUUUUUUUAAAUUAUAUAGUUUAAUUAAAAUAUAUUUAAUAAUAAUUAUGUUAAUUUAUAUUUUACAGUAUCAUAUAUUAUGAUUUGAGUAAAUUAAUAUAAGAAUAUUAAUUAUUAAGAAUUUUAUUAAAUUAUAUAUUUUAAUUAAAAUAUAUUUAAUAAUAAUUAUGUUAAUUUAUAUUUUACAUUAUCAUAUAUUAUGAUUUCAGUAAAUUAAUAUAAGAAUAUUAUCCAAUUAAGAAUUUCAUUAAAUUAUAUAUUUUAAUUAAAUAUAUUUAAUAAUAAUUAUGUUAAUUUAUAUUUUACAGUAUCAUAUAUUAUGAUUUCAGUAAAUUAAUAUAAGAAUAUUAAUUAUUAAGAAUUUUAUUAAAUUAUAUAUUUUAAUUAAAAUAUAUUUAAUAAUAAUUAUGUUUAAAUAUGAUUAAAUUAUUUAUUAUUGAUAAUAAAAAUCUUAUUAUAAUUUAAAUAACAAUAACAAUAAUCAUUUACCAAAACAAAUUUAUGCUAAGGGUAUUCUAGUCAUUUUAGUUUUUUCUAUUAUGCUAUUACACCUCUAUUCCAUUCAACCAAACACAAGAUUACUAUUACGCCUCUAUUCCAUUACAUUCAACCAAACAGUGGAUUAGCUAUUACACCUCUAAUCCAAUACACCUCUAAUCCCAAUACACCUCUAAUCCAAUACGCCUCUAAUCUAAUACAGCGAACCAAACAUGCCCUAAGUUCAUAGUUUUCAGAUCGCGUAACUCUUUAGCGAACUUGUGAAGCAUUAUGAGCUCACAAUCCUAAGUAACGACUCCACCAAAUCGACUGUGCAUUAUUGAGGAUAAAUGUAAUUGGAAUUCCUUUCAUCAAACAUAUUAAAUAGUUGAUAUAUGAUUUGUAUUUACUAGAAUUGAAAAUAUUGUAUUAAUAUGUUGAAAACAUUUUAUUCAAAAACCUAAAUGCUAUGACUAUGAAUUCGAUAAAUGGCAAUGGUUUGAUAGUGAUGACUUUCCAAUGUAUACUUCUAACUCUCUUUCCAGUAAGUAGGAGCGAAGCUAGAACAAAUUUUUAGGGGGCUGUAUGAAAUUUUAAUUUUUUAUAGUUUAUAUCUUUAUAAUUUUUAAAGGAUUAAAUCAAAUUUUUAUAAUUUUAGGGGGUCAAAGUACAAUUUUACUUUUACUAAUUUAAAAUUUAAAAAAAAAUUCAAGAGCCUUAAUAGAAAUCUUCCAUUUUAGAGAGGCCAAGGCCCCUGCCAGCCCCUUGUAUCUGCUACUGCCAGUAAGUGCCUUUGGCUUCACUUUUCUUCUCAUUUAAAAAAUUACAAAUAAAGAAGAAGUUAAAUGCUAUAAGAAACCUACAUAUUAUGAUAAAUUUAUUGUUAGCAAUUACCUAUUUAUAAUUGUGAGGGCACAGUAGUUAAAAGAUUUUAAAUAAAAGAUUUAAAUUUCUAAUAAUGUAAUUAAAAUUAUGAUAAAAUUUAAUUAUUAAAUAUAAUAGUUAUCUAAAUUAUUAUAUUUAAUUUUCUUAUUUAAUUAAAUAAAUACUUUGUAAUAAAAUGGAUAAUAUUUAAAAGUUUUGAAUUGUAAAUUUUACUUAUAAUUAGUUUUUUUUAAAUUUUCAUGUUAAAAUUAAAAUUAAAAUUAAAAAUAUAUAAUAUUAUUGAUCAUAUAUAUAUAAAUAUAUAAGUUAUAUCAAAAAGGAUAAUUAUCUAAUUGAUUUUCUUAUUUAAUUAAACAUUUAUCUAAAUUUAUAAAUUAUCAUUAUCUAAUUAAAAUUUAAAUAAAUCUAAUUAUUAAACAUAAUAAUUAUCCAAUUUUAAUACUUAUGAAAUAAAUUUUUUUAUAACCAAAUGGAUAAUAUAUAAAAAAUUUGGAAUGUAUAUUUUACUUACAUUUUAAUUUUACUUAAACUAUCUAGAUUACAUCCAAAUUUGAUAAUUAUAAGUUAAAAUUAAAAUAGAUAAUAUUUAAAUUAAAUAUUUAUUUUUAGAAAAUUUAAAUGUAUGGUGAUUUUUCUUAAUCAUCUAAUGUAAAUUUUAGAUAAAAAUUAAAUUAACUAAAAAUUAAUUCAAUUUAAGCCAUGAAUAAUUAAAAACUAAAAAAAUAAAUAGAAAAUCUAUAAUAGCACCACUUGUCACAAUUAGCGCAAGUAUAUUAUCAUAUUCAUAUAUACAUAGAUAUCAACUUGCUGUAUCCGUUAACAAUAAAUCCAAAAACACAAAUAGAAUUUGCCACCCAACCCCACUAAACAGAAGGUUGCAUCUGAUUUCUCGUUAGUAGUUAAACAUUAAAUCAUAAGUAUUGCUAUUAUUUUCUUAAGUUAAUAGGUAUAUUCAUAAGUAAAAUUGUAGUUGCAAUUACAAAUAUAUAUAUAUAUAUAUAUUCAAAAAGCUAUAAAAGUAAUCAAUCAUUGUAAAACACUUUUUGGAUUUAUAGUUAAAAUUUAUUCGGAUUUAGACUAUAAUAAAUUUAGAUAUAAAUUUUUUUGUAUAAACAAUUGGUACGGUGAAAGUAAACUAGAGUAAAUGUCUCAUAAUUAAAAUGAUCUAUUGAAUGUGUGUAUUCGGUCAUAUGUGAAGUUAACUUGAAUGUGCAUAUUCGGCUAUAUGUGAUGUUCUAUUGAAUUUGAACUAUAGGUUACAUAUGAUGUUUUAUUUAACUUUUAUAUAUUCGGCCAUAUGUGAGUCCAUUAAGAAUUUUGUGAAUUCGGCCAUACAUGUAAGUGCUAAUGUGAUAACAUAUUUGUUCUUGUAUAAUCAGCUAUAUAGGAAAUAUAUAUAUGGUGAUAUAUAUUCGAUUUUAAACAUUCGGCUAAGGUAUCUUAAUGUGUUAAUGUGUAAUAUUAUUGAUAUAAUUCGGUUAGUUGAAUGUUUUGAUUAUUCAUUGAGUUGUUUAUUAUGCUUAAAGCUUACUAAGCUAAGUUAGCUUACUCUGUGUGUUUGUUUAUUUUGUUUUAUAGAUUUUAGUUGUAAGUCACGAGCUCGGGGAUCAUUAUCGAAGUCAUCCACACUAACGUCAACUUUCGGUACUAUUAAAAGUUUAUUUUCGAACUUAUAUCAUGUAUAGGCUAAUAUGUAUUUUGUUCAACUUCGAAUAUGUAUAUAUAUAUUGAGCCAUGUGAAUAUGGCUUAUCUUUAGAGUUUGGAUAUGGUUAUGUUUGGCAAUGGUUUAUCACAUUUUGAUUAUAUGUAAAUGUGAAUGGUAUUAUAUGUGCUGGUAAUAGCUUGAAAUGAUAAGUGGAAUUGGUUGUGGUUGGUCGCUUGGUUUUGAUAUGUUUAAAUAUAAAUAAAUAUGGUUUGAUGAUUUGAUUUUGAUGUACGUUUAUUCAUUUAUAAACGUGAGCUCAGGUGUUAGCAUGUUUAAUGUAUACUAGAAAUACAUGAUAUGAGGCAUGCCUAUAUUCGAAUAUGCAAAGAUUAGUUUAGUUCGGUUUGCAUGGAAAAAAAAUGUAUAAGUACUAUAAUUAGUUAUGAGUUUAUUAAUGGUGAAUUAUUGAGAUUUUAUUGUUUAAUAAUGUUUGUAAGUGAGACAUUGAUAAAUGACCAUUUGAAUAGUGAUUUUAUGCAAUAGUACACCAUGAGCAUUAUAUGCAAUUUUGCAAAAUUGAUAAUUAUGUGUACGUAUAUACAUGUACUUUGAUUGUUAAUUCGAAUGAUGGUUUGGGUAUAUAAUGAAAGUAUAUGCGUAUGUUUAUAUUUGUUAAUGAAAAUGUGAUUAUUUAAAAGGUAUAGAUUCGGUUAAAUUUGGAGGUAUGAUUCGUGAAUGCAAUAUGAUAAAUAAAGCAUGUUUAAUAUUUAAUUAGCCAUGUGCUUUAUAUAUAUUUAUGAGUAUGAAUUGUAUGAAUAUGUGAAUGUUUGUAAUUUUAUUUUUGCUCAGUAAUGCCUUGUAACCCUAAUUCGGCGACGGGUAUGGGUUAGGGGUGUUACACACCACACAGUCGUGUCUUACACACGGCCAUGCUACGCUAUUCACAUGACCGUGUCUCGUACACGGCCAUCCAUACGAGCGUAUAGGUACUUCAUUGCUAUCUGUUUGGCAUUUCACGCUUUCGAUAUUAUGCUUUGUAACCAUAUCAGUUUUGCAUUUCUACAACCAAGACAAUUAUAGGAAUAGUGGGCUUCACCUCAACCAAUGGCUUGAUACAUAUGCUGACAUAUACUAGAAGAUGAUGCUUUAUAAACCUCAUACAUAAGUUUGAGAUCAUAAUCAUAGGGAAAAAAUGGCCUCACCAGUAUAAUCAACAUAUUUUUUUUCUCCAUCAAAGUAAUAUCCUUAACCUCAUUGUCCAAAACCUAUGUUAGAGAUUGGGGUAAGAAGAUUUUUGAGGGGGAGUGACUAUGACAAUGGAGAAAAGCUUAAACGUGACUUCUGGCGAUAGCGAUCGUUGUCGCAUUGACUCGUGUUUUAACUUUUUCUGUACCGUCACUAUCACUUACCCCCUGAAAGUUUUUUUACUCUCACAUCUGACAAAAGUUUUGGACAAUGAGGUUAAGGAGACUACUUUGAUGGAGAAAAAGAAUAAGUUGGUUAUACUAGUGAGCCCCUUUUUCCCCUAUGAUUAUGAUCUUAAACUUAUGUAUGGGGUUUAAAAAGCAUCAUUUUCUGAUAGCAUAAAACUUGAACUGUGACCGCAUAACUACCAUCAACUAGGGGUUCAAGUUAUGUUAGAACCCAUGAUCGCAUAACUACCGCCAACUAGGAUCCCUAGUUAUACUUGAACUCGUGACUGUAUAACCACCGUGAACUGGGAGCCCGAGUUGCAAUGUGACAUCUUCUGAGGUGAUGGUGCACUCCCCACACUGGAAAUGAAAUGUGUGGGGCUUGAAGUCUCACAACAUCAUUGUAAACUCAAACAUACCUAAAAACUAUCAUAAUUUCUUCGUAAAACACAAACACAAUCAAUUCUUUCUCCCCAAAUUUUCAACACCCAACAAAAAAAACAACUUUUUGAAAGAACGAAACUUAAAUUUGAAAAAAAAAGACCUAAUUUGCUAAUUAACUUUUUAAAAUGACAUUUUUGCAAUUGUUUUAUUGUAUAUUUAUAUGAUCUUUUCAAAAUAUAAACAUAUUAAAAAAAUUACGAUAUCCCCCAAGUUAAAUUUUAAUAUUUAAAUUAAAAAUAAAUAUUAUUACAGACUUCAAAUAUGAAAAUAUUUGAAAAUAAAAAUUUUAGGAUUAAUCAACAAAGAGUUUUAAUUAUAAAAUUUAUAUCAAAGAGGAAUAAUUUAAAAGUAUUAAAAAUUUGAUAAUACAAACAUACCAUCAAAUUUUUGAAUAAUAAUUAGUGACAAUAGUUAUACUUAGCAUAUAAUUUUGCAAUAAAUAAGAAUACAAAAAUAGAAGAAUUUAUUUUUAAAAUAUUUUGAAUUUAUUACUACUUUACAUUUAUAUUUUAAAAAAAAAGACAUAUAUAGGUUGUUGGUUUAUCAAUUUAAUUAACUCACCCAGAUCCCUCUUUUUCUAUAGACAGACUUUCUAUAUUGUUUGUCUAAUAUAUACCAACACUCGGUCUAGAACUACCAGUUUUGCCUUUUCCUUUAGCUUUUUCGUGCUCACUAUCGAUCUUACCGCUUUCUUAUUCGACCUAUCAAAUUUCUUAAGCAUUUGAACCGACACACCCAACCAUAACACUAAGUUCAUAGUUUUCAGAUCGCGUAACUCUUUAGCGAACUUGUGAAGCAUUAUGAGCUCACAAUCCUAAGUAACGACUCCACCAAAUCGACUGUGCAUUAUUGAGGAUAAAUGUAAUUGGAAUUCCUUUCAUCAAACAUAUUAAAUAGUUUAUAUAUGAUUUGUAUUUACUAGAAUUGAAAAUAUUGUAUUAAUAUGUUGAAAACAUUUUAUUCAAAAACCUAAAUGCUAUGACUAUGAAUUCGAUAAAUGGCAAUGGUUUGAUAGUGAUGACUUUCCAAUGUAUACUUCUAACUCUCUUUCCAGUAAGUAGGAGCGAAGCUAGAACAAAUUUUUAGGGGGCUGUAUGAAAUUUUAAUUUUUUAUAGUUUAUAUCUUUAUAAUUUUUAAAGGAUUAAAUCAAAUUUUUAUAAUUUUAGGGGGUCAAAGUACAAUUUUACUUUUACUAAUUUAAAAUUUAAAAAAAAAAAUUCAAGAGCCUUAAUAGAAAUCUUCCAUUUUAGAGAGGCCAAGGCUCCUACCAGCCCCUUGUAUCCGCUACUGCCAGUAAGUGCCUUUGGCUUCACUUUUCUUCUCAUUUAAAAAAUUACAAAUAAAGAAGAAGUUAAAUGCUAUAAGAAACCUACAUAUUAUGAUAAAUUUAUUGUUAGCAAUUACCUAUUUAUAAUUGUGAGGGCACAGUAGUUAAAAGAUUUUAAAUAAAAGAUUUAAAUUUCUAAUAAUGUAAUUAAAAUUAUGAUAAAAUUUAAUUAUUAAAUAUAAUAGUUAUCUAAAUUAUUAUAUUUAAUUUUCUUAUUUAAUUAAAUAAAUACUUUGUAAUAAAAUGGAUAAUAUUUAAAAGUUUUGAAUUGUAAAUUUUACUUAUAAUUAGUUUUUUUUAAAUUUUCAUGUUAAAAUUAAAAUUAAAAUUAAAAAUAUAUAAUAUUAUUGAUCAUAUAUAUAUAAAUAUAUAAGUUAUAUCAAAAAGGAUAAUUAUCUAAUUGAUUUUCUUAUUUAAUUAAACAUUUAUCUAAAUUUAUAAAUUAUCAUUAUCUAAUUAAAAUUUAAAUAAAUCUAAUUAUUAAACAUAAUAAUUAUCCAAUUUUAAUACUUAUGAAAUAAAUUUUUUUAUAACCAAAUGGAUAAUAUAUAAAAAAUUUGGAAUGUAUAUUUUACUUACAUUUUAAUUUUACUUAAACUAUCUAGAUUACAUCCAAAUUUGAUAAUUAUAAGUUAAAAUUAAAAUAGAUAAUAUUUAAAUUAAAUAUUUAUUUUUAGAAAAUUUAAAUGUAUGGUGAUUUUUCUUAAUCAUCUAAUGUAAAUUUUAGAUAAAAAUUAAAUUAACUAAAAAUUAAUUCAAUUUAAGCCAUGAAUAAUUAAAAACUAAAAAAAUAAAUAGAAAAUCUAUAAUAGCACCACUUGUCACAAUUAGCGCAAGUAUAUUAUCAUAUUCAUAUAUACAUAGAUAUCAACUUGCUGUAUCCGUUAACAAUAAAUCCAAAAACACAAAUAGAAUUUGCCACCCAACCCCACUAAACAGAAGGUUGCAUCUGAUUUCUCGUUAGUAGUUAAACAUUAAAUCAUAAGUAUUGCUAUUAUUUUCUUAAGUUAAUAGGUAUAUUCAUAAGUAAAAUUGUAGUUGCAAUUACAAAUAUAUAUAUAUAUAUAUAUUCAAAAAGCUAUAAAAGUAAUCAAUCAUUGUAAAACACUUUUUGGAUUUAUAGUUAAAAUUUAUUCGGAUUUAGACUAUAAUAAAUUUAGAUAUAAAUUUUUUUUUAUAAACAAUUGGUACGGUGAAAGUAAACUAGAGUAAAUGUCUCAUAAUUAAAAUGAUCUAUUGAAUGUGUGUAUUCGGUCAUAUGUGAAGUUAACUUGAAUGUGCAUAUUCGGCUAUAUGUGAUGUUCUAUUGAAUUUGAACUAUAGGUUACAUAUGAUGUUUUAUUUAACUUUUAUAUAUUCGGCCAUAUGUGAGUCCAUUAAGAAUUUUGUGAAUUCGGCCAUACAUGUAAGUGCUAAUGUGAUAACAUAUUUGUUCUUGUAUAAUCAGCUAUAUAGGAAAUAUAUAUAUGGUGAUAUAUAUUCGAUUUUAAACAUUCGGCUAAGGUAUCUUAAUGUGUUAAUGUGUAAUAUUAUUGAUAUAAUUCGGUUAGUUGAAUGUUUUGAUUAUUCAUUGAGUUGUUUAUUAUGCUUAAAGCUUACUAAGCUAAGUUAGCUUACUCUGUGUGUUUGUUUAUUUUGUUUUAUAGAUUUUAGUUGUAAGUCACGAGCUCGGGGAUCAUUAUCGAAGUCAUCCACACUAACGUCAACUUUCGGUACUAUUAAAAGUUUAUUUUCGAACUUAUAUCAUGUAUAGGCUAAUAUGUAUUUUGUUCAACUUCGAAUAUGUAUAUAUAUAUUGAGCCAUGUGAAUAUGGCUUAUCUUUAGAGUUUGGAUAUGGUUAUGUUUGGCAAUGGUUUAUCACAUUUUGAUUAUAUGUAAAUGUGAAUGGUAUUAUAUGUGCUGGUAAUAGCUUGAAAUGAUAAGUGGAAUUGGUUGUGGUUGGUCGCUUGGUUUUGAUAUGUUUAAAUAUAAAUAAAUAUGGUUUGAUGAUUUGAUUUUGAUGUACGUUUAUUCAUUUAUAAACGUGAGCUCAGGUGUUAGCAUGUUUAAUGUAUACUAGAAAUACAUGAUAUGAGGCAUGCCUAUAUUCGAAUAUGCAAAGAUUAGUUUAGUUCGGUUUGCAUGGAAAAAAAAUGUAUAAGUACUAUAAUUAGUUAUGAGUUUAUUAAUGGUGAAUUAUUGAGAUUUUAUUGUUUAAUAAUGUUUGUAAGUGAGACAUUGAUAAAUGACCAUUUGAAUAGUGAUUUUAUGCAAUAGUACACCAUGAGCAUUAUAUGCAAUUUUGCAAAAUUGAUAAUUAUGUGUACGUAUAUACAUGUACUUUGAUUGUUAAUUCGAAUGAUGGUUUGGGUAUAUAAUGAAAGUAUAUGCGUAUGUUUAUAUUUGUUAAUGAAAAUGUGAUUAUUUAAAAGGUAUAGAUUCGGUUAAAUUUGGAGGUAUGAUUCGUGAAUGCAAUAUGAUAAAUAAAGCAUGUUUAAUAUUUAAUUAGCCAUGUGCUUUAUAUAUAUUUAUGAGUAUGAAUUGUAUGAAUAUGUGAAUGUUUGUAAUUUUAUUUUUGCUCAGUAAUGCCUUGUAACCCUAAUUCGGCGACGGGUAUGGGUUAGGGGUGUUACACACCACACAGUCGUGUCUUACACACGGCCAUGCUACGCUAUUCACAUGACCGUGUCUCGUACACGGCCAUCCAUACGAGCGUAUAGGUACUUCAUUGCUAUCUGUUUGGCAUUUCACGCUUUCGAUAUUAUGCUUUGUAACCAUAUCAGUUUUGCAUUUCUACAACCAAGACAAUUAUAGGAAUAGUGGGCUUCACCUCAACCAAUGGCUUGAUACAUAUGCUGACAUAUACUAGAAGAUGAUGCUUUAUAAACCUCAUACAUGAGUUUGAGAUCAUAAUCAUAGGGAAAAAAUGGCCUCACCAGUAUAAUCAACAUAUUUUUUUUCUCCAUCAAAGUAAUAUCCUUAACCUCAUUGUCCAAAACCUAUGUUAGAGAUUGGGGUAAGAAGAUUUUUGAAGGGGAGUGACUAUGACAAUGGAGAAAAGCUUAAACGUGACUUCUGGCGAUAGCGAUCAUUGUCGCAUUGACUCGUGUUUUAACUUUUUCUGUACCGUCACUAUCACUUACCCCCUGAAAGUUUUUUUACUCUCACAUCUGACAAAAGUUUUGGACAAUGAGGUUAAGGAGACUACUUUGAUGGAGAAAAAGAAUAAGUUGGUUAUACUAGUGAGCCCCUUUUUCCCCUAUGAUUAUGAUCUUAAACUUAUGUAUGGGGUUUAUAAAGCAUCAUUUUCUGAUAGCAUAAAACUUGAACUGUGACCGCAUAACUACCAUCAACUAGGGGUUCAAGUUAUGUUAGAACCCAUGAUCGCAUAACUACCGCCAACUAGGAUCCCUAGUUAUACUUGAACUCGUGACUGUAUAACCACCGUGAACUGGGAGCCCGAGUUGCAAUGUGACAUCUUCUGAGGUGAUGGUGCACUCCCCACACUGGAAAUGAAAUGUGUGGGGCUUGAAGUCUCACAACAUCAUUGUAAACUCAAACAUACCUGAAAACUAUCAUAAUUUCUUCGUAAAACACAAACACAAUCAAUUCUUUCUCCCCAAAUUUUCAACACCCAACAAAAAAAACAACUUUUUGAAAGAACGAAACUUAAAUUUGAAAAAAAAAAGACCUAAUUUGCUAAUUAACUUUUUAAAAUGACAUUUUUGCAAUUGUUUUAUUGUAUAUUUAUAUGAUCUUUUCAAAAUAUAAACAUAUUAAAAAAAUUACGAUAUCCCCCAAGUUAAAUUUUAAUAUUUAAAUUAAAAAUAAAUAUUAUUACAGACUUCAAAUAUGAAAAUAUUUGAAAAUAAAAAUUUUAGGAUUAAUCAACAAAGAGUUUUAAUUAUAAAAUUUAUAUCAAAGAGGAAUAAUUUAAAAGUAUUAAAAAUUUGAUAAUACAAACAUACCAUCAAAUUUUUGAAUAAUAAUUAGUGACAAUAGUUAUACUUAGCAUAUAAUUUUGCAAUAAAUAAGAAUACAAAAAUAGAAGAAUUUAUUUUUAAAAUAUUUUGAAUUUAUUACUACUUUACAUUUAUAUUUAAAAAAAAAAGACAUAUAUAGGUUGUUGGUUUAUCAAUUUAAUUAACUCACCCAGAUCCCUCUUUUUCUAUAGACAGACUUUCUAUAUUGUUUGUCUAAUAUAUACCAACACUCGGUCUAGAACUACCAGUUUUGCCUUUUCCUUUAGCUUUUUCGUGCUCACUAUCGAUCUUACCGCUUUCUUAUUCGACCUAUCAAAUUUCUUAAGCAUUUGAACCGACACACCCAACCAUAACACUAAGUUCAUAGUUUUCAGAUCGCGUAACUCUUUAGCGAACUUGUGAAGCAUUAUGAGCUCACAAUCCUAAGUAACGACUCCACCAAAUCGACUGUGCAUUAUUGAGGAUAAAUGUAAUUGGAAUUCCUUUCAUCAAACAUAUUAAAUAGUUUAUAUAUGAUUUGUAUUUACUAGAAUUGAAAAUAUUGUAUUAAUAUGUUGAAAACAUUUUAUUCAAAAACCUAAAUGCUAUGACUAUGAAUUCGAUAAAUGGCAAUGGUUUGAUAGUGAUGACUUUCCAAUGUAUACUUCUAACUCUCUUUCCAGUAAGUAGGAGCGAAGCUAGAACAAAUUUUUAGGGGGCUGUAUGAAAUUUUAAUUUUUUAUAGUUUAUAUCUUUAUAAUUUUUAAAGGAUUAAAUCAAAUUUUUAUAAUUUUAGGGGGUCAAAGUACAAUUUUACUUUUACUAAUUUAAAAUUUAAAAAAAAAAAUUCAAGAGCCUUAAUAGAAAUCUUCCAUUUUAGAGAGGCCAAGGCUCCUACCAGCCCCUUGUAUCCGCUACUGCCAGUAAGUGCCUUUGGCUUCACUUUUCUUCUCAUUUAAAAAAUUACAAAUAAAGAAGAAGUUAAAUGCUAUAAGAAACCUACAUAUUAUGAUAAAUUUAUUGUUAGCAAUUACCUAUUUAUAAUUGUGAGGGCACAGUAGUUAAAAGAUUUUAAAUAAAAGAUUUAAAUUUCUAAUAAUGUAAUUAAAAUUAUGAUAAAAUUUAAUUAUUAAAUAUAAUAGUUAUCUAAAUUAUUAUAUUUAAUUUUCUUAUUUAAUUAAAUAAAUACUUUGUAAUAAAAUGGAUAAUAUUUAAAAGUUUUGAAUUGUAAAUUUUACUUAUAAUUAGUUUUUUUUAAAUUUUCAUGUUAAAAUUAAAAUUAAAAUUAAAAAUAUAUAAUAUUAUUGAUCAUAUAUAUAUAAAUAUAUAAGUUAUAUCAAAAAGGAUAAUUAUCUAAUUGAUUUUCUUAUUUAAUUAAACAUUUAUCUAAAUUUAUAAAUUAUCAUUAUCUAAUUAAAAUUUAAAUAAAUCUAAUUAUUAAACAUAAUAAUUAUCCAAUUUUAAUACUUAUGAAAUAAAUUUUUUUAUAACCAAAUGGAUAAUAUAUAAAAAAUUUGGAAUGUAUAUUUUACUUACAUUUUAAUUUUACUUAAACUAUCUAGAUUACAUCCAAAUUUGAUAAUUAUAAGUUAAAAUUAAAAUAGAUAAUAUUUAAAUUAAAUAUUUAUUUUUAGAAAAUUUAAAUGUAUGGUGAUUUUUCUUAAUCAUCUAAUGUAAAUUUUAGAUAAAAAUUAAAUUAACUAAAAAUUAAUUCAAUUUAAGCCAUGAAUAAUUAAAAACUAAAAAAAUAAAUAGAAAAUCUAUAAUAGCACCACUUGUCACAAUUAGCGCAAGUAUAUUAUCAUAUUCAUAUAUACAUAGAUAUCAACUUGCUGUAUCCGUUAACAAUAAAUCCAAAAACACAAAUAGAAUUUGCCACCCAACCCCACUAAACAGAAGGUUGCAUCUGAUUUCUCGUUAGUAGUUAAACAUUAAAUCAUAAGUAUUGCUAUUAUUUUCUUAAGUUAAUAGGUAUAUUCAUAAGUAAAAUUGUAGUUGCAAUUACAAAUAUAUAUAUAUAUAUUCAAAAAGCUAUAAAAGUAAUCAAUCAUUGUAAAACACUUUUUGGAUUUAUAGUUAAAAUUUAUUCGGAUUUAGACUAUAAUAAAUUUAGAUAUAAAUUUUUUUUUAUAAACAAUUGGUACGGUGAAAGUAAACUAGAGUAAAUGUCUCAUAAUUAAAAUGAUCUACCCACAACCCCAUUAACAAAAGCAUCAACACCAACCCUGCAAAUUCCUCCACUCCGAUGAAUGGUAAUGAUGCCACAAACACUAAACUUUCUUCAACCCAAUCAAAACACUGACUCGCCCAACCAUGACUACCAUAGAAUCUUGGACACAGCUCCUGAAUAUCCUUAAUACUCCUUUAGUUAAUCCUGCCACUGUGGUCUUGCCUUCAAUUCUGAACCCAUCAUCCUCCCCUGCCACCCCACAAGAUCCUAGAGAUGAUCUCUUAAAACAAAUCCUCUCUUGUUUAGCCUCGUAAUCUCAAUAAACUAUCGUGGCUAUUCAUCCAGGUCAGACUUCCCAACAACAACAUCUACUGGAUUCCAACACCACGUUGUUGAGAUGCUAGAAAAGAUGUGUCUCAUGGAGGAACAACUCCUGGCUCAAUAACGUCAAUUCUAGGAACAAUAGAAACUAGGGGUGAGCGUUCGAUCAAAUCGAGUGAAAAAAUUUCAAGUUAAUCGAGUUGAUGAAUCCUAUUUUAUCAUCCUAACUCGAUUUGAAAAUUUUUUUAAUCAAGUCGAAUGAAAUGAAAUUUGAAUCGAGUCGAAUCGAACCGAGUUAAAUUAAAAAAUUAAACAUGUCAAAAUAAAAUAUUGUUACAUUAUAGUUCCACGUUAGAGCACAUAAAUUUGAAAUAAUUUAUAUUUGAAAAAAAUUCAAAGUAAAAUAAUAAAAAAUAAUUUAGUAUAAUAAACUUGAAUCAUUAAUUAACUUAUUUAGACCCCCAAAAUUAUUAUUUAAAAAAAAUUUAAAUUUUAAAAUUUUUUUUAUAUAUUUUUAGAUUUUUUAUAAAUUUUUUAAAAAAUAUAUAAAUUUUAGAAUUUUUUAUAAAUAUUUUGAAUUUUUUAAAAUCAUUUUGAAUUACUUUAUAAUUUUUAUUGAGAGACACCAAUUUGCUUAUUUUCAAAUUUGAUAGGGACCAAAAGGGUAUUUAUACCAAUAUCUUAUUCGAAUUAUUUGAGUUAUUCGAAUUAUAAAAUUCAACUCGAUUCGAACUCGAAACUCGAAUUACAUAUUCGAGUUUACUCGAAUAAUUCAAAUAACUCGAUUUUAUUUUUUCGAAUCAAAUUGAGUUUUGCUCACCCCUAACAAGAACGUCAGUGUCUGCUAGAUCAACAAAAUGCCUACAAUGAGCAACUAAUCGCGAAGUUGCACGUGGCAAAAGAUGUUAUCAAAAAGGGUGAAUUACCCCUCCAGUAGAACCAAAAGAUAUAACACAAUCAAUUGUUUGUAAGGAUAAUAAAAGACGUAAUGAUGAUGAGAUUUUACAAGAUCCUCAACCCGGUCGAUAACCCUAAAACAAAACAUUCUUGUUGAGUAAUAAAUUGCACCGUUUCGAGUAGAAUUUUUACAAGAGGUUAAAGGCUUUAAAUCUGAUGAAGUUUCUUGGGGCUAUGCUAACGAACUUUUAGCCCCUUCCUUGUUGACACAUAACUUGUCUACCUCUUUCAAGUUUCCUAAGUUAACUCGCACUAGUAUUGGAGACCCGGAAGAUAACCUAGUCCACCACAACAAGCACAUGAACAUUCUUGGAGCCUCAGAUGCUAUGAAAUGUAGAGCUUUCUCUAUGACCCUUUCUAGCAUAUCCUAACAAAAGUACCUAUAGAUUCCUCCAAGAUCUAUAAAUAAUUUUAAUCAAUUGGUUGGGUCAUUCAUGAGCAGAUUCUUCGCCAACAAAACCUCACAAUAAUCCUAGCUUACCUCAUGUCCAUUCGAAAAAAAGAAAAUGAACCCUUCUGUAAUUUCAUGACAAGAUUUAAUGCUACAAUUAUGAUAACCAAGGGUGUUUAUGAUGCUCUAACCAUCCAAGCUUUCUUGGUAAGUACCACUUACAAAUUCCUCCAAUUUCACCUCAUUGAUAACCUUAUAGAAAAGUUAUCUCAGCUUAAUGAAAUGGCCCAUCGCUUCACAGAAGGUAAUAAGAUGGGAAUUCAUCAAGCUAAGGAAACAACCAAAGCAACCCAAACUUAACCCUUUAUUAAAUAUUUCUCCCCUCCACAUCAUCAUCCAACAAUAACUUAUGAACAUCAACCACGGCAGUGAACUUUCCCUCUAGUUGGUGAAACAUGGUUCUAGCGGUAUAACUCACUAUAACAAAGGGAUAGGCAGAUGGUUAAUACAUUAGGUCCAACACGUCAUCCAGGACCCGUGACAGACAACUGCCCUAACCAACAUCAGCGAGAACGAGUCCCAUAUAACCAGUAUCGCACAUACCAUCAACUUAAUUGCUCUCUUGCUACCAUAUUUGAGCAAAUCAAGUAUCAAUGAAUUCUACCAAAGCCACCAACCAUGCCUUUCAACCCUCAUCAAGAUGAUUUGUCUUUUCACUGUCAUUACCACAAUGUGGGAGGUCAUACUACGAAUCGAAAUAUUCAGCUCAAGGAUGCAAUAGAAGAUAUCAUCCAAAAAGGAUAUAUACAAUAAUAUGUUAUAGAGAUGUUUAUCCAUUGAAUAAGACAAAUGACCAAAAAGAAAAACCUUUUAAUAAUCGAUUUAAGGAUAAAAGGAAAACAACCUAUACAUAGAAUUGUUGAUGUUUUCAUCAGAGUGAAUAAAGUAUGGGCUAGUUCAAACACCAAGUGAAAAGCCUACCAGCUUAAUAUCUUAUUUAUUUCAACAUCAGUCAAGAAGCCUAGAUCAUUCUUUUAGUGUUUGAGGUUUUUAGAAUUAAACGAAUGGGAAAUCCUAGACUUGGAAGGGAAUGAUCCUCUUAUUAUUUUUGCCACCAUUUCAUUCUUCCAGGUAAAUAGAAUCCUCAUGGACACGAGGAGCUUUAUAGACAUUUUAGCAACUAAAACAUCCAUAAAAUGGGUCUCAAAUAUGUGACAAGAACAAAAUUCGGCUCAAUAUAUGGUUUUUCUAAUCAGCCAAUCAUAAUUAAGGGUUUUAUUACCCUUUCGGUGGUAUUAGGCAAUGUAGAACACACAAUCACGAAGAUGGUAGAUUUCUUAAUAGUAGACCAUUCGCCAGCAUAAAUAUUUUUGGCAGGCCAAUAAUGAGUUUUAUUAUUACCUUUUGUUAGUCUCCCCCUAUGCGUUUGGGAGCAAAGUUUUAUUAUUACUUCCCUAAGCCUCCCUCAAUACAUUUGGGAGUAAGGUUUUGUUAUUACCUUCCGUAAGCUUCCCCCUACGCAUCUAGGAGAAAGGUUUUAUUAUUACCUUCGUAAGCCUCCUCUCACACGUUUGGGAGAAGGGUUUUAUUAAUACCUUCUGUAAGCCUCCCAUCGUACAUCUGGAAGCAAAGUUUUAUUAUUACCUUUUGUACGUGUAACAACCCGUUUUUUGUGAUACCAGAAAUGGUGGGUUUGGAAUCCUAUUUUUCGAUGAUUGAGUCUAAAGAUAUUAUUUAUUAAUAUUUACGAGUCUAUAAAAAAUUUAUAUUGAAUUCUAGUCUAAAAAUUUUAGUGAUUAGUUGGUUAAUUAAUAUACAAAGAUUAAAUUAUAAAAAACUACAAAAGUUAGUUACUAUUAAUUUAUCUGCUGAAUCAGUAUAAUAGCAUAAUGGAGUCGUUUUAAAUGGAAAUUACGUCGUAGUUGUUUGUAGUGGACAGUUAAGUGCUUUUGUUUUAAUAAAAUUUUGUUAAAAUGUACUAAAAAUAACAAGUUAAAAGUUAAUAAAAUAUAAACAAAAAGUUGUCAUCUUUGCCAUUUUUCUUUCCCACCAUUUCUUUACCAUUGUUAAGAGAAAGAAAAGAUUCAAACCCUUCUAAACAAUUGGCCCUUGCAUAUCAAGAAAUGAAUCAACCAGUAGAUAACCGAGGAAAAAAGAAAAUAAUAGAUUAGUCCUUGGCAUUUCUUUUAUUGUUGUUAUCACCUGGUAAGUUCAUACAAUAUAGUUAUAUGUAUUUUUGUAAUGUUUAUUGUAACACCCCUAAUCCCUCUUCAUCGUCAGAUUAGGUUUUCGACGUUACUAACCAAUCACGACAUUUAUUAACAUAAUAAUCCACAGUGUAAGCUAACUAUUAACAACAAUAUAUUAUACAGUGGAAGAUCAUGCCAAUAAAAUAUUUUCAUAAUAAUGUUUUAUACAAUUGAAUAAGGAAUCAUGCUAUGCAAAGCUAAACUUGGUCUUCCACUGUCUACACUCUUAAUACUAUUUUUCCCCUAUUGAAUGCUAAAAGUUGGAUACAUAACAAAACUAUUCCAAUGAUUUGCAUCAUAGUAUUGGUCUAUACUCUGUCUAUUUACUUUUGGUAAUAUUAGUAGAAUGACCUACUUCACCUAAUUUAGGUUUGCUAUUUCAUUCCAAAUUAGAGUAAAAAUACUUUUACAGUCCUUAAUACAAGUUUGCAGGACCCUAAAAAUAGUCUAAAAACAAACAGGGGCUAAUUUAAAAUAAUUUUGGAAGUUUAAGGUGAAUUUCAAAAAUACCUAAAAACAGAGGUCACAUGGUCUUGUGGAACGCCCCAGAACGCGUGACUUUCAAAUUUGGGACAUAUGGCCGUGUCCCAACCCAUGUCUCUGUUUGUGUAACUCAUUGACUUGAGACACAGAGCCGUGUCCCAACCCGUAUGAGAACUACACUUAUACUGUUUUACAACACGUUCAGGGCAUACGCCCGUGUGUGACACACGGUCGUAUGACAGACCGUGUGUACCUAAAUGUACCUUAAAACUCAAGUUUAACAAUUCAUACUUACUUGCGCACUAAGCAACUCAAUUACCAACCAUUUGACCUAUUCAAAACACAAUUAACAUGUUCAAAAUAGGCCAAAUCAAUCAUCUAAUAUGCCUAACCAAUGUACCCUCAUUGGUACCAUAUUCUAUAUCAUCAAACAAACUAACAAAGCUUCAACCAUUCAAAGCUUUCGUUCAUACCAAAAUUUUCCAUAAUUGGACUAACAUUUAGCUACUUAAGCUACUAAACUUUAAAUCUAACACAUACCAAACCAUUAAGCUAAGCUAUUAUACCAACAUAGCCUCAACCACUACCAUAUAUACACAUAAUCAUCCUUGCACUAGAAAACCAAAACAUUAUCACAUUAUAAACAACCUCAAACAAAGACUUUUUAGGUACAUGCCAGUACAAUUUAAACAUCACCACACUUGAGCUCGGGAUUUGUUGUUGGAUGCUGUGUCGAUGAUAAGCUGAAAGUACCUAACCUGCGCACAAAAAACAAAACCGCACGCUGAGUAUAACUUAGUGGUAUUUCUAUAAUUUGAACAUAAAAGUAAAAUACAAUACAAUUACAUGCUCAAGUUAUAAUAAAUGAUAUUAUGCAAUAUUGUCUCAAUCAUAGUUCAAUUCAUUUCAUAUUUAAUUAAACAUCAUUCCUUAAAUACAUAUCCAUUGACUACUUUAGUUCCUAAUUCAUAUUUCAUUCUAUAUUUCACUUCAUUCUAUCACACUUGCUAUUCAAUAGCAUUGCCAUUUUCAAAUCAUUACCAUCUUAAGGCAUUAUCUCGAGUUUACUGUUUACUUCCUUUAUUAACGUGACUUGGAUUUAGACACAUGGAUUCCAACCAUCUCAUUUUCAUAUAAAAUCCAAUAUCCCAUACAAUAUACAAUAUACAAUAUUUUAUUUUAUAACUAUGAAAUUUAAUACAUUGUCACUAAUAAUCAUUCAAUUCAAAUUCACAUAUCACGAACUUGUUUCAAAGGAAUAAUUAUAUAUAUACUUACUUAUAAUGUAAUGUAUAAAAGUAACGUUUUUAAAUAGUUUAGAUUAUAAAAAUACAAAUUGUAUAUCCCGAGCUACUCGACGUCGACCUUGGCUUUCCACUUCUUACUUGAGGAUUUCGGAACAACGUUUGCAAAUUAGAUUUGAACCCUUAGGUCCCUUAGCCGUGUGUUCUUUCUCUUCUUUUCUUUCUUUCUUUUCUUUCCUUUUUAAUUUGCAUGCCCUCUUCUCUCAAUUUCCACUUUCGUUUUUAUUUUAUUAAUUUGUUUUCAUUUUAUUUAUUAUUGUCGAAACUAUUUUUAUAUUUGAAAAAAAGGGGAAUCGACUUUUAAAACAAAGUGUAGAGUCGCCACCAAUCUUUUUGUGUAGGUGUGAUUGGAUCACCUAAUAAAAUAUUUUGUUUCAUUUAAAUCAAUUUUGGUCCACGUAAAUUUAAAAAUGGGUUUAGGAGCCGGUUACGUAUGAGGAAGUGUUUGCACCCUCACUACGCCCAAAAACUGGUACUAGAUUGAUUAAGUGAUGUCCUCAUGUUUAGGGUUUUUUAAAAAAAAUUGAAAUAUGCUUCCUUUUAAAACAUUUGAGUGGUUCAAGUUGGUCCUCAAAACUCUCUCGUUUCAAAGGUAUACAGCAUCACAUCCAGCACGAUAGGACAUGAUCCUUUAUACCUUUGAAAACACGAUUGAUUUUUGACUUCCAAAAGCUCUUAGGUUGAAAAUUACAAAAAGGAUGUUCAAUUAUUUAGUCCAACGAAGAAUCGAAACCCAGCACGGUAGGGCACGAUUCUUUGAAUUUCCAAAUAUUGGACAUUGCCUUAUUUGAAAAUUUUUAAAUAAACCAUUGUAAACUAGCUCAAAACGUCUUAAUUUUAUUUGAAAUAAAAUGGAAUAAUUGAUUUUAAAGAGUUGAAAAUCAUGAAGCAACAUUUUGUUAACCAAAAGAAAAAUAAAAAUCAUGGGAUAAUAUACAUGCAUAAAAUACAAUACUUGGCGAACGAAAAUAACAUAACCUUACUUAACCAAUUAACCAAACAAACAAUUAACUCAAAAUAUAACCAAAUUCACAAGCAUGGGUGAACAACAACUGAUUUAACAAUACAUAAAAACGAGUAAAUGUGGUGUAGCAAAUAUACAUGAAAUAAUAUAAAGACAAUUAACACAUGAGAUACCAAACAAUAUAAAACCAAUACGAUACAAAAAUAAUUUCUCAAAAUGAUGGAUUAAUGAGCAAAUAACAUAUGCUAGAACUUGAAAUAAUUUAUAAGAAAAAUAAAGAACAUAUAUAUAAUUUUUUUUUUAAAAAAUUGAUGUUGCAAAAAGAAGACAUUUAAAUCAAAUAAUAUGUCAAAUGUUAAAAAAAUAUAUUUAUAAAAUUUUUUUUGACAAUAUACACACAAUGAAGGAAAAUUUAAAUAAUACAUAAAAUAUGAAUGGAUAGUAAAAAUACAUAAUAAAAUAUGAUCUUAGAAAACCAAUUAUGUAUAUAAUAGAUUUAAAAGACAUAUCCAUAUAUAUAUAAAUAACUUUAAAAAUAAUUAUAUGUAAAAAUAACAUGGAAUUAAUAGUGCAUAUAAGAUUAAAGUAAUCUAUAAAUUAUAUAUGUACAAAUAUACAUAAAAGUAUUUAAAUGAGAUACUAUAUAACAUAUUAAAAUAAUAUAAUAUAAAGAAGAAUUCUGAAAUAAUAAUUUUAUAACCACAAAAAUGAAGUUCCUAAAAUAGCUUCAUAUACACAUAAAAAUAUUAAGUGAAUUUUAAAACUAUAAGUACUUUAAAUAGAAAACUCCAUUAAAAUAAUAUAUGUACAGGUAAACACAAAAAUAUUUAAAUGAGACAUUAUACAAAACGUUUAAAUAAUAUGAUAAAAAACUUCAAAAUAAUUAUACAAAUAAAAACAAAGCAAAAUUAUUAAAAUAGAUUAACACAUAUAUAAAAAUAUUAAAUGGAUUUUAAAAUAAUAAGUUAUAUAAAUAGAAAACUCAAUUAUAAUUGAAUUAAAAUAAGAGGGAUAAUUUAUAAAUAAAAUAGACCAUUGAAAUAAAAAAAGGACCAGCGCGCCACGCAUGCGAAUGCUCAAGGACCAAAGCUGGAAAUAUUCCAGAUCCCAAAACGUUUUGUUGAGGCUUGGGUUAAAUUGAAACAAUGUGCAAAUUCUAGGGAUAAUUAAAAAUCGAAGAAAUUUGGAAUAAGCUUAAUCAAACACUAGUGCGAAAGGAAGGGACUAAAUGUACAAAUUGCCAUUUACCGCAACAAACGCGCGGUUCCUGAGGGCACUGGAUUGGGUCAUCGAGCAUGGCUUCCAAACGAUAUCUUUUUUAAACCAUUAAAAUUGGUUUAAACGGCACCGUUUCUACUUCCUUAAAAAGGCCAAACCAUGCCUUCAUUUAGCAGAACCAAUAAUGCAACCCUAGCCUUUUUCUCUUCAAUCGUCAAGCCUUAAACUCACUCCUUCAAGCGCCGAUCCUCGCUAAGCGGCGAUCAACGCCUUUAAAUUUUAGGGGAUAUUUCAUAGCCUCACGAUUCCUUUCCAACCUCGGUUUUGACGAAGCGAAACAAAAUUCGUGGCUCUUUCUUUAGGUAAAAUUUCUUUUCUUUUUCUUUUUUGUUUUCUAAUGCAAAAAACGAAAUAUUAAAAGACAAAAUCGGGAAAAACAAAAUAAAAAAAAAGCAUCCAGAAUUUGGACUUAGGAAUCACCUUUUUAAUUUUGGUAGCCCUUUUCUAUAUUUCAGUAUACGUAAGAUUUUCAAGUACAAGCGAGGGCUUUUUAUAGCCAAAUUUACAGAAUAAAUAGCAAAAAAUAAAAAUAUUUUCCUGCUGUCAUUUGUGUAUUCCGUUAUUCUGCUUCUUCUCGUGUGUUCUUUUGCAGGAGCAGCCGUACAGAGGAACGAAGGGAGGCGCGCAUGAAGGAGGCCGUGCAUGGGACUAUUCGUAGGGAGCCCGAUCCUGGCUAGCUGCUGGUGUUUUCCAGAAACCUCUAGGGUUUCUGGUGUUUGGGCCUUUUUCGGGUCAUUUUGGGUCUCGGGUUUAGUUUAUUUGGGCUUGUAUUUUAAUGUUUGGGUUGGAUUUUAUGUAAUUGGGUCAUUGACUUUUAUUGUUUUGGGUUUUUUUUGUUUGUUUAUUUUUGGUUUUGGGUUCUUUUAUGGGCCCGGAGUUUUGUAAAUGGACAUUGGUUAAUUAUUUAUUUUGAUUUUAUUAUUUUUGUUUUAUUUUUGGUUUUUAAGAUUUAUUAUUAUUUUUUAGGUUUAUAAUGGGCCGGGGAAAUUGGGCCUAUUACAAUUAUUAGAUAAUAUAUAUAAAUUUUAUGUUAUUUAUUAUAACAUAUAUAUAUAUUAAGUUAUCAUAUAUAUAACACAUAUCAUUAAUGUCAUCCACUACUAUUAGUUAAAUACAUAUAUACUAUUUUAGCC